CAUGAACAGGUAUCGAGUUUGAUACCCGAAUUGAUGAUCUCUUAGAAGUGGCUCAUGAAUUUACAUACGAGGCCAUACAUGAGGAACAACCUUGGGAACAGGGGGAGCAGGAGAGUCAGGUUUCGAUCCUGUGGAACUGUAGGUUAUGGGCCCACCAUGUGGUUCAAAAGUAGGAAGGACACCGACAUAUUGCACGGUCAUGGUAGCAAGGCAUGGCAGAGGAUAGCUUGUCAGGUAUGCCGGCAACAAUGUUGCUACCAAGGACGGGGAAUGAAGAGAGCAAUUUUCCUACUUGUUGAACGAGGCGAACCAAUUGGCAAAGUUAUCACCCGUCGGUGGUUACCGGAAUGUCAUCAACAAUAGUAACAGGGUCUUACAGACAGAAUGGUACAACAAGGUGCCUACCUAAGCAGGGAAUUAUCUCUGCUUAGUUAAGUCAGAUUCAGGAAAGGCUAAACAAAAGAAUGGAAAGGAAAAUUGUGAUUACACACAAUUAUAAGGAGUAUAUCCUUCCCAUGUACAAGCAGAGCAUGGCAUAUAGGGUAGGAGAGCAAGUACCCAACCAUUCAGAUGAGAGGCAAGGAUUAAUCAAGAUGUUACCCAUACAACAGUGUUUGGGUAACUGACCAAGAAAUAUUUAGCAUCGAGCCUCCAAUGUUCUUAUUGAAGAGAGGGGUAUCAUAGUCAUGCUUCGAGGUAGCAUUGAUAUGGUGUUUCAAUCAAGGGCCGGACUUUGGAUACACAAAUGAUCCAUCAGGAGCAACUUAUAAAACAAGUCUUACAAUUUCCUCUAGGAAGAAUGGUUAUCCUUGCAAAAGAAAUUAUAAUGAUAGGUCCUCCAGCCAGGGGGUUGCUAGGCAUGACAUCAUCUUACCGGGUCAUCUAAUAACCAACAUCAUAACUCCUGGAAAGUUGUCCCAACCAUAAUAUCUGACCGAGAUUCAGAUCCGAUUGGUAUCAUGAUACCUCAGACUCAGGAUGUCCGAGAAGAAAAGGUGCAACACAAAUAGAAGAAAUGACAAUGUAAGAUUCUCGGGAAAUGACUAUGGAAGUGAGUUCGAAGACAAGGAUUCAUCAUCAUUAAACCAAGGAGAGGAUGAGGGGGUGGCUGAUGGAAUCAGCGGCAAUUUGUCGAGAUUAACAAAACAUGGAUUUCCACAAUUAUGUGAACAAGGAGAUAACAUUUGUCAGAUCAAAUGGUAUAAUGAUGUAUGCUCGAGGAAAACAUACACAAUUAAACAUUGGUUGAAAGGUGCACCCGAAUAUGGGCUGGGUUGCACGACCAAUCUCGGAAUGGUGAUUCAAUAAUCAAUAGUCUAAGAAUGAACGGGCGACCAUUAACUUCAAAGCAAGAGGGUUGCUAGAAGGGCAGAAUCCAAACAACACCGUUCACUUGUUGGAAGCAACACAGGGACCUAGAAAGAAUGGUGAUGGUCAGAAGUGUCACUAUACCAAGAAUUCUUAAGAGGUGGAGUAAACCUCAUGACAUUCUUGACAUAAAAGAUGGUAAUACUCCAAGGUAAAGAAGAAGAAAUCCUGGAUAGCAAGGAACUCAAUAUAUAACACAGAACACGAACAAGUUUGUGUUGGAGGGAAGGCAAUAAUGUGGUCGAUGACAACACCAAUCAUCAAGGGCAAGGAUGGUAUUUCUCAUCAUGAAUUCAAUUGAUAUCCUGGAGGAGCUCAGAAUGUUGAUGAUGAUCAUGACACAAUUGUCGAGAGGUUUCAUGAGGAUAUAAUCGCUCAUCGACGACAUCAAGCAAAAGGAAGGAUGGAGCGAAAAGUUAUUGAAACCACGGAUACGACACAAACUCGGAAUCAAGCUUGUUGUUUGAGGUGAACGGUUAGACAAGGAAGAUCGACGUAAGCUUAGCUCAUCAUCAAAAGUUGUGCUCUGGGAAUAAGGACCAGGUAGCACAGUUUAAGCUUUAACAUGAUGAUGAUGAUGUAGCCAAUCGGUUGGAAUGACAUCAGCAAGUACAACUCGCAGGUAAUAAGAAUUACAAAGAGUAGUUGAACCGUAGAACGGACUCGAUUCAGUUAUCGAUGUUUCAAGUGACAAAUAACUCAAAACCCCGAGAAAAUUGGAAUCACCAAGAAAUAAUAGUUGAUGAAGAACUCACAAGAAGUUAUGUAGUUCGGUGAUAUUCUCGAGAUACCAAAGUGUAAUACUCGACGACAGAUCAAAGUAGAGGUUGGACCGGGGUAUUGAUCCACAGAAGACAAGUGCUUAAACUUGCGCGAGAAAUGGGAUCAAAGAAGAACAUACGGUCAGAAGCACGAUUGCAAAGGAUCAAUUCACCGAUACCAAAGCAUAUUAUAUCAAGGAAAUAGUUAUUAUUACAAGAAGCUUUCAUGAUAGGAUCUACAUCGUGUCCAUGGGCAUGAACACAAAGUUCAAGGUCGACUCCCACUUCUCCAAUGCAUGAACAUCCAUUCGCUUCUCGUUGUCGAAGUUGUAGUGUUGAAAAGUUAUCUGACAAAGCGGCAGUAGUGUAUAACCCGUAUAAAUUUCGGGUUCACACAGAUUACGGAAGGCAUAGGUUCAACCCAACGGGGCUUCUUAGGAACAUAUACCAUGACCUUCGGAAGUAAAUAACACAAGCUCAAAAGUAGAGCAUGGUUGUCAAAGCUGAGGAUAGAUUUACCAAAGGCGUUAUAUACCCGUGGAAAGGCUCACAAGGUUAUUGAAUAUGAAGGACGAUGUCAGAUGAAAUCCAACAAUGGAUCGGGCGAUCCACAAUGAAGCUGAUGUGAGUAUCGGUACUCAACCAGAGGAAGAAGAAUGCAAGGAGAUCUGAUUAUAGAAACAUCUGACUAAUUCAAAGUUCAAAUGCAAAAGAAUUACGAUUUCCAAAUCAGCGGAUCAGAAGCAACGCUCUGAUCAAGGAUGGAUAAGUUGAGUAUGCUUAUGGGUACAAUCGAUGGCAAUUUGACUGGUCGAGAUCCAGCUCAUGUUUAAAAUGACGUCUGAGUCGAAAGGAUGAAUACUAGGAUGUGAUUAAGGAUUGCAACAUUCGCAACAUAUUGAAUCAAGGGACCCAAGAUGAUAAAGGCAAAGUACAUCCAUGAAUAUUGCUAGUCAUUUGGAAUUAACCAAAAUGUAGGCAGACAAGAAUUUCAAGGGCCAUAGGCUAAUGAGGAUUCUCGAAAGAUCGGAUAGUAUUUUGAAGAAUUUUGUGAAACACAUGAACAACUAGGGAUGAGCGGAUACUCGGUAAGAGCGAGGAAUUAUCCGUAGGGGUAUUCAUGUGGCAAAGAACUGCAAGGCAGUAGGCACAAAGUAUUCUUGAAACAAUAGAGAGAAUUUCGAUGUAUCUUGUAAUAACAAGAUCAACUGGGAAGCAUUGUAUGAAUGGCGAGUAUACGUGGUUAUCCAUAGGGGUUUAUCGAUGGAGGGGAAUUGCAAAAGCGACACCAUAAAGUCUCAAGAGAACAUCGGAGAGUAUCUUCAGAUUCUUCUGAUGCAGCAGACGAUCGUCUGUAAUAAGGGGCUCUCCGGGAGAAAGUAUUAUCGAGAACCUAGAGUCAGAGUUAGUAUAAUCGUUUAACCCGAAUAGAAGAGAUGUCAGAGUCCCAGAGUAUAGGUCGAGGAAUAAAAGAUCCUACUACCACCCAAUGGCGACGUGUGCCCGUAAGACACACAACCAUGUUAGUAAAAGUUUUGCAAUGUCUAGACUCGACUUCGGCUAAGGAGUUGGAAAGGGGAUUCCUACAGGCAAUCGGCUCUGAUACCAACUUGUGACGCCCCCGAUUCAAUCAUACACUAAUCAUGCACGCUAACAUGUACGAUCAAGAUCAGGGACUCACGGGAAUAUAUCACAACACAACUCUAAAAACAUAAAUAAGUCAUACAAGCAACAUAUUACAAGCCAGGGGCGUCGAGGGCUCGAAUACAAGUGCUCGAUCAUAGACGAGUCAGCGGAAGCAACAAUAUCUGAGUACAGACAUAAGUUAAACAAGUUUGCCUUAAAAAGGCUAGCACAAACUGGGAUACAGAUUGAAAGAGGUGCAUGCCUCCUGCCUGGGAUCCUCCUAAACUACUCCUGGUCGUCGUCAGCGGCCUACACGUAGUAGUAGGCACCUCCAGUGUAGUAGGAGUCAUCGUCGACGGUGGCGUCUGGCUUCUGGGCUCCAGCAUCUGGUUGCGACAACCAGGUAGAAGGGAAUGGGGGAAAAGAGGAAGAAAAGCAACCAUGAGUACACAUCCAAAGUACUCGCAAGCAAGGAUCUACACUACAUAUGCAUGGGUAUAUGUGUAAAGAGGCAAUAUCGAUGGACUGAACUGCAGAAUGCCACAAUAAGAGGGGGAUAGCUAGUCCUAUCAAAGACUACGCUUCUGGCAGCCUCUGUCUUGCAGCAUGUAGAAGAGAGUAGACUGAAGUCCUCCAAGUAGCAUCGCAUAGUAUAAUCCUACCCGGCGAUCCUCCCCUCGUCGCCCUGUGGAAAAGAGAUCAUCGGGUUGUCUGUGGAACUUGUCUGGGUGUGUUUUAUUAAGUAUCCGAUUCUAGUUGUCAUAAUGUCAAGGUACAACUCCGGGUCGUCCAUUUACUGAGGGACACGGCUAUUCAAAUAGAUAAACUUCCCUGCAGGGGUGCACCACAUAACCCAACACGCUCGAUCCCAUUUGGCCGGACACACUUUCCUGGGUCAUGCCCGGCCUCGGAAGAUCAACACAUCGCAGCCCCACCUAGGCACAACAGAGAGGUCAACACGCCGGUCUAAAUCCUAUGCGCGCAGGGGUCUGGGCCCAUCGCCCAUUGCACACCUGCACGUUGCGAGGGCGGGCGGAAGCAGACCUAGCAACCUCCAUUACAAAGGAAGUCACGUUACGCGGUCCAAUCCGGCGCGCGCCGCUCCGUCGCUGACGUCAAGAAGGCUUCGGCUGAUACCACGACGUCGAGUGCCCAUAUCUUUCCCGCGUAGUUGGUUAGUGCGUAUAGGCCAGUGGCCAGACUCAGAUCAAAUACAAAGAUCUCAUUAAGCAUGUUAUUAUGAAGUAACCGCAGACGCCGACCAGGGCCAGGCCCACCUCUCGCCUAGGUGGUCUCAACCUGCCCUGUCGCUCCGCCACAAAGUAACAGUCGGGGGCCGUCGGGAACCCAGGCCCACCUCUAACGGGAUGGAGCCACCUGUCCUUCCAGCCCCCACAUCAGAAUCACUUGCGGGUACUCAACGAGCUGACCCGACUUUAGUCACCAUCUGUAUAGUAUGUAUAUAUGUAUAGUAUAUACCCGUGAUCACAUCCCAAGUGAUCACGGCCCGAUAGUAUAGCAAGGCAGACCGACAAGAAUGUAGGGCCAAUGAUGAUAAACUAGCAUCCUAUACUAAGCAUUUAGGAUUGCGGGUAAGGUAUCAAUGACUGUAGCAACAAUGACAGGCUAUGCAACAGAAUAGGGGUAACCGAAUAGUAACAUGCAGCACUACUCUAAUGCAAGCAGUAUAGAGAAGAAUAGGCGAUAUCUGGUGAUCAGGGGGGGCUUGCCUGGUUGCUUUGGCAAGGAGGGGUCGUCGGUGACGUAGUCGACCACAGCGGCAUCAGCACCGUCACGUGGUCUAUCAAAGGGAAGAGGGGGGAGAAACAGUAAAUACAUAGCAAGCAAGUGCAAAACAGGACAACAGGCAGAGCUAGACGUGUUCUAACGCGGUAUGAGGUGAUCCCGGAGAAGGGGGGAAACAUCCGGGAAAGUAUCCCCGGUGUUUCGCGUUUUCGGACAAAUGAACCUGAGGGGAAAGUUGCGUGUUUGUUAUGCUAGGGAUGUGUGGCGGACGAACGGGCUGCAUAUCCGGAUUCGUCUCGUCGUUCUGAGCAACUUUCAUGUACAAAGUUUUUCCAUCCGAGCUACGGUUUAUUUUAUAUUAAUUUUAAAAGAUUUAAUCAUUUUUAGAAUCUAUUUAAUUAUUUAAUUCUAACAUUAUCCAGAAUGGGGUAUGCUGCCGUCAUCAUGACAUCAGCAGGACGUCAGCAGUCAACAGGGCGUUGACUGGGUCAAUCUGACGUGUAGGUCCUGCAUGUCAUACUCUGUUUACUCUAAUUAGGAUUUAACUAAUCUAAUUACCGUCUAAUUAACUAACAACAGUUAAUUAGGUUAGCUUAACAGGAUUAGUUAAGUUAAUUAAUUUAGUUAAUUAACUAAUUAAUUAAUUGAAUUUAUUAAUAUAUUUUCUAAUCCUUUUUUUAUAAAAUCUUCUGGGGCGGGGCCCCCUUGUCAUAGGUAGGGGACUAGCGGGCGCCAGUGCUAGUGGGUUACGAGCGCAGGGCGCAUGGGCGCCAGCCCAGCAGGAUGCUCGCCCAGGCCAUCUGCGACGCAGCGGGGCGCCGGCGGCCACCGCAGCCAGCUGCAGCAGCCGAAGAGGAAAGGAGCAGCAGCAUGGCAGCGCCGGCAGCACCGAAGCGGGGCAAGCCAACAAGGCGGGCGGCGAGCCUCAGGCGACAGAAGGAGUUCGGGGCGCCGUGGUCGACGGCGAGCGUCGAACGCCAUAGGGCGCAGCAAUUGACGUCGAGUGGGGUGGGCUUCGGCAGCGUUGACAGUNNNNNNNNNNNNNNNNNNNNNNNNNNNNNNNNNNNNNNNNNNNNNNNNNNNNNNNNNNNNNNNNNNNNNNNNNNNNNNNNNNNNNNNNNNNNNNNNNNNNNNNNNNNNNNNNNNNNNNNNNNNNNNNNNNNNNNNNNNNNNNNNNNNNNNNNNNNNNNNNNNNNNNNNNNNNNNNNNNNNNNNNNNNNNNNNNNNNNNNNNNNNNNNNNNNNNNNNNNNNNNNNNNNNNNNNNNNNNNNNNNNNNNNNNNNNNNNNNNNNNNNNNNNNNNNNNNNNNNNNNNNNNNNNNNNNNNNNNNNNNNNNNNNNNNNNNNNNNNNCUCCCCGAUCCAGAUUGGAUCGAGAGAGGGAGAGUGGGGGCACGAGUGGGGGGUGUCGGUGGGUGGAUUAGGUUACGGGGGGGAGUGGGGGUGGGCCUUGGCCCAGGUGGGCAGGCAGCUGGGCAGGAGCCCAGUGGGGAGGGGGUGCUUCCUCUUUUAUUUUAUUUUUGUUAGCUUUGUUUUUUUCCUUUUAUUUAUUAUUUAUUUUCUGUUUUCUUUUGACUUCUCAAUCUAUUUUAAUUUUGUGAAAAUAUAAUUUCAACUCCUAAUUUUAGCAUUGUCACUAAACUCACUGUCAUAAAAAGUUUUACCCAAAACAAAAUAGUUUAGUAUUUUAAAUAAUAAAAAGGCAUUUAAUUAAUUGUUUUAUCUACAGUUUUAUUCAUCUUAUAGUAUUUAAAUAUUUUAUAAAAGUGUGGUUUCUCCACCAUAAUUACCUACGCAUUAUUUGGCACAACCCGAACAUUUUAGUUUUAAUAUUUGAAAACUUUUAUUGUUUGCUUGAUUUUGAAUUUUGAAUUAUAAUCAGUUUUGAACUAACGCGAGAUUAGAAACAAUAACCGUGGUGACGCGGCAUCAUUAACGUGGGAUUACUGUAGCUUAAUUAUCCGGGCGUCACAGCCCGGUUGUGAGGACCGGGUAGAGGACCAAAACAAGCCUAAACGCAAGUGGAAUCGAAGGAUUCAUCCGGCUUCGGUCGUGCGUAGAAGUGCUAGGAUCCGGACCACUAAAAAAUUCAUGAUGAAAUAUGAAAGGAAUCUUUUGGAAUAGCAGAGGUCUUAAGGACUUAGCUAAAAGAAGGUUUCUAGCGGAUGCUUCUAUUGAGCACAAAUUGGAUUUUAUCGCCCUGUCCGAAACUGGAAGGGACAAUUUCACCCCCUAGUUUCUUUCUACCCUUUCGGGAGGGGUUGAUUUCGAUUGGCAUUUCUUACCUCCAAGAGGAAGAUCCGAUGGGAUUUUACUUGGGCAUAAAUGCGAUUCGUUGGAUGUUUGGAGCGUUGUUAUGGGAGAUUUUGUGGUUAAGUUUUGGGUCCGGUCGAAGGUUGAUGGGUUUAAUUGGGCUUUGGUGGCGGUGUAUGGUGCCGCGCAGCCUGAACUCAAACCAGAUUUUUUGGCGGAUUUGUUCCAUAUUUGCGGUAGCGAGCAGUUCCCAAUUUUGAUUGGGGUUGAUUUUAACAGUAUCCGUAGAUGGGAGGAAAAAACAAUGACAACUUUGAUGGCAGAUGGUCGUUUAUGUGUAAUACAAUUAUUGAGAGCUUAGAUCUUCGAGAGAUUGAGCUUUUUGGUAGAAAAUUCACAUGGGCCAAUACGUUACCAAUCCCGGCGUUUGAGAAGCUAGACCGGGUCCUAGCGAGCGUCGAAUGGGAGCAGAAGUUUCCCCUAGUGACGAUCCAUGCACUUUGUUGCGUGAUCUUCGAUCAUACCCCAUUAUUGGUUGAGUCGGGAGAGGCAACACAUGUGGGGAACGAAAAUACAUUUUCUUUCAAAUCAGCGUGGUUUGAAAGAGAAGGGUUCCUAGAUAUAAUAGCAAGAGAAUGGGCUAAAAAUUCAAGAGGGAGAUCGAAUGUUGAGAGAUGGCAGAAUAAGAUUAGGCAUUUAAGGCAGUUCUUACAGGGUUGGGCCAAACACCUGAGUGGGAUAUAUAAGGCUGAGAAGGAAAGGUUGCUUUUACUUAUUCAAUCCCUAGACUUAAAAGUCGAGUCCUCCAUUUUAGAUACCAUAGAGCUGGAAACUAAAGUGGAGGCGGAAUUAAGACUGAAAGAACUACUUCAUGAGGAGGAAUUGAAGUGGGCACUGCGAGCUAAAGUUCACAAAAUCGUCCAAGGGGAUGAUAACACACAAUUCUUCCACCUGAUUGCCAAUGGCAAGCAUCGAAAGAAGAGAAUCUUUCAGCUUGAGCAAGACGAGGGGACGAUUUUAGGACAGAAGAACCUAAAAGUUUAUAUCACCAAUUAUUAUAAGCAGUUGUUUGGGCCUCCCGAGGAUAAUUUUGUAUCCUUGGAUGAGUCAAGGGAGGAGGAUGUUCCUCAACUAGCUGCGGAUGAGAACGAUAUUUUGACAGCCCCAUUUUCGGAGAAAGAGGUGUUUGAAGCAAUUUCACAAAUGAAAAAUAAUAAAGCUCCAGGCCUGGUUGGUUUUCCAGUGGAGUUUUAUAAAAAGUGCUGACACAUCAUUAAGGGGGACUUGCUCCCGAUGUUCCAGGAUCUUUUCUCGGGGCAGUUGCAGUCAUUUCACUUGAACUUCGGAACAAUAACUUUGCUUCCUAAGAAAACAGAGGCCGUGAGGAUUGAGCAAUUUAGGCCGAUCUGUCUUCUUAAUGUUAGCUUUAAAAUUUUCACCAAAGUUGGGACUAAUAGGCUUACAUAGAUUGUGCAUUCUAUGGUGAAGCCAUCUCAGACUGCUUUCAUGCUGGACAGCAACAUCCUAGAAGGGGUUGUGGUCCUACAUGAAAUGCUCCAUGAAAUCCACACGAAAAAACUAGAUGGGGUGGUUUUCAAAGUGGAUUUUGAGAAAGCAUACGACAAAGUAAAAUGGCCAUUUCUUCAGCAGGCCUUGCGUAUGAAAGGUUUCGACCAGGCCUGGAGGUACCAGGUAGACUCUUUCACGCAAAAAGGGAGUGUUGGAAUCAGGGUAAAUGAUGACAUAGGUCAUUAUUUCCAGACACACAAGGGUCUGAGACAAGGAGAUCCGAUGUCACCAAUUAUGUUCAACAUUGUUGACAUGUUGACAAUCCUAAUAGAAAGGGCUAAGGAUGAUGGCCAGGUAGGUGGCCUCGUUCCGCAUUUAAUUGACGAAUGAGUGUCUGUCCUACAAUACGCUGAUGAUACUAUCAUCUUCAUGGAGCAUGAUUUGGCUAAAGCUAGAAACGUGAAGCUAGUGUUGUGCUUGUUCGAACAAUUAUCGGGGUUAAAGAUUAACUUCCAUAAAAGUGAAUUGUUCUGCUUUGGAAGAGCUAAAGAUGAACAACAAGCUUACAAGGAAUUGUUCGGGUGUGAAUUGGCAUCUUUACCUCACUUAUUUGGGUAAUACCAAUUAACCAUCGCAAGCUUUCCAACAAGGAGUGGAAGUGCAUUGAAGAUCGGUUUGAAAAAAACUAAGCUACUAGAAGGGCAAGCUUAUGUCAUACGGAGGACGAUUGAUUCUGAUCAAUUCAGUUCUCACAAGUAUGCCUAUGUUUCUCUUGUCCUUUUUUGAAGUACCAGUUGGAGUAUAGAAAAGGCUAGAUUUCUAUCGAUCGCGCUUCUUCUAGCAGAAUGAUGAAUUAAAAUGAAAGUACAAACUCGCUAAGUGGGAUAUUAUUUGUAGGCCGAAAGAUCAUGGGGGUCUUGGCAUUGAAAAUUUAGAGGUGAAGAACGGAUGUUUCCUCAGCAAGUGGCUGUAUAAGUUAUCUGUAGAGACGGAUGCCACUUGGGCCCAGAUUCUUCGUAAUAAGUACCUUCAGUCCAAAACCUUGUCCCAGGUGAUGGUAAGACCGACUGAUUCGCCUUUUUGGAAGGACUGGUGAGAGUGAAAUCAGUCUUUUUUAACAGGACAAAAUUUGUGGUUGGAACUGGUACUUCCACAAGAUCCUGGGAGGAUACAUGGCUAGGGGAGAUGCCCCUUGCAAUCCAAUAUCCUUCUCUCUAUAAUAUUGUUGAACGAAGAGACGCUUACGUUGCAACAGUAUUACAGUUCAAUCCUUUGAAUAUUCAAUUCAGGAGGACGCUAGCGGGAAAUCGAUGGGAAGCAUGGCUCCAUCUUGUGAGAAGAUUGAUGGAUGUCCACCUUUCUCAACAGCCCAAUCAGUUGCGCUGGAAAUUAACUAAGACUGGUGAGUUUUCAGUUAAAUCUAUGUAUUUGGAUAUUAUCAACACUAGCGUUCUUCCUAGUUCAAAGCAUGUUUGGAAAGUCAAUGUGCCUUUAAAAAUCAAAGUGUUCAUGUGGUUUGUCCACAAACAAGUCAUGCUAACGAAGGACAAUUUGGCAAAGCGUAACUGGACUGGAUCUAAAAGAUGUAGUUUUUGUGAUAGUGAUGAAUCAAUCAAGCACCUCUUUCUUGACUGCCCAUUGGCAAAAAAUUUGUGGAGGUCGGUCCACAUAGUUUUUAAUAUUACUCCUCCGAAUUCCAUCAACACGUUAUUUGGGACGUGGCUAGAUGGGAUUGGUGCAGAAACAGCAAGACACAGCCGUGUAGGAGUUUGUGAUUUAUUAUGGGCAGUUUGGAACUACAGAAACACUUUGUUUUUAACAGAACAACAAAUAUUCAUUUCUUGUAGGUUAUUUUCAGGGCCACUACACUCAUCUAUAUGUGGUCGCUACUCACUCCGACGGAGGCCAGAGAGCAUUUGGUUACUGGAUCUAUCCGAUGGGAGACGACAUCACGGGCUAUCUUCAACCGGUUUGAAUGACGGUCAUGUAAUAGGAUAGGUGUUUAGUUUCCUAUCUUUUAUUUUGCCUGCCGGUUGUGGCUAUCCUGUUUUUGCUUUCGGGCUCUUACUGAGCAUUUUUCCUUUCUAUUUGAAACCUCGAGACUUAUGUUGGACCUUUUGAUUAUCAAUAAUAUGACCGUGCAUCGUUCUAAUGCAGAGGCCGGGGCAAACCACCUUUUCGAAAAAAUUAGGCUGGUAUUCAUGUGGGAAGCCGUAUACAGAGAUCUAAAUCCAUAUCUUUAGGUGUGCAUCUGGAUUGUCGUAGGUUUUGUAAAUCCCUCAUACGGUGUUGACCGAAUACUAUUGACACGGAAAGCCCACAGCCCACCCUAUAUGACCUCCUAAUCUUCUAGCAUGCAUAAUUGCAUCACAUAUGCUAGAACCCAAGUAGAGCGCAUGUUCUUGAAAACCAGAAGUGACUCUAUUCCUUGACCUUUUUUAUUUCCAGCCACCAAGUUGUCUCUGUCUCCGUCGACACCUAUUCCUCAAAAACAUCGUUGUCAAGGUGCUUCUUGUACAACCACAACUGCUUGGUCAUUCUUUCAGGAUCAUCCGCGCCAGCCUCCCGUGAACAGAAUGGAAAUUGCAAUUCUAAUUAGUUUUUUUCUUGAGUGAAAGCGACUCUAACCUUUUUUUGGGGAGGGGGGAUAACAAUUCGGUAAGCUUAAUUGCUAGAAAUAAUUUGUACAUGGAUAAUUGCCAGACAAUGAAGCUAUAGAAGCCAGACAUAUCUAUCCCGAACUAAUAAUAAUAUAAAUUUAGCAAGAUUGUCAUGUCACCUCCGUUGGAACGAGACUCUUCCCACCUGUCCCCCCGCAUCCCUCUAGUAGGCGACAUGGGGGAAUCCUAGCCGCCCCCGCCACCCGCCCUCCUCCACCCCCUCCCCCUUGCCACCAUGUCAGCGAUGGGGCUUCUCCCCUGGCGCAGCUCUUCCUUCUUCCUCGCGGCGGCGCAAUCGCUCCUGGUGGGCUUGGAGGCGCGACGCUUAGAAGUUCCGACGACGGCUCAUUCUGUGGUGGGUGGAGGGAAUGUCCCCGUCCGGUGGUGCCGCCUACGCAGCGGCUGUGGCCUGGGGUUCUUAACCCUAGAUUGGAUCUAGGGUGGUGCUUGAUACGUCUCUAACAUAUCUAUAAUUUUUUAUCGUUCCAUGCUAUUAUAUUAUUUGUUUUGGAUGUUUAAUAGGCAUUUAUAUGCUAUUUUAUAUUAUGUUUGGGACUAACCUAUUAACCGAGGGCCCAGUGCCAGUUUCUGUUUUUUUUGCCUAUUUUAGAGUUUUGCAGAAAAAGAAUACCAAACGGAGCCCAAACAGAAUGAAACCUUCGUGAUGAUCUUUCUUGGACCCAAUGCAAACCAGAAGACUUGGAGAUGAAGUCGUAGACGCCACGAGGCAGGAGGGCGCGCCCCACCCUCGUGGACCCCUCAUAGCUCCCCUGACCUAGUUCCUUCGCUUAUAUAUACUCCUAUUCCUAAAAACAUCAAGGGGAGCCACGAAACCACUUUUCCACUGCCGUAACCUUCUGUACCUGUGAGAUCCCAUCUUGGGGCCUUUUUCGGCGUCCUACCAGAGGAGUAUUCGAUCAUGGAGGCUUCUACAUCAACACCAUUACCUCUCCGAUGAAGCGUGAAUAGUUUACCACAGACCUUUGGGUCCAUAGUUAUUAGCUAGAUGGCUUCUUCUCUCUCUUUGAUUCUCAAUACCAUGUUCUCCUCGAUGGUCUUGGAGAUCUAUUCGAUGUAAUAGUAAUUUGUGGUGUGUUUGUCGAGAUCUGAUGAAUUGUGGAUUUAUGAACAAGAUUAUCUAUGAAUAUUAUUUGGUUCUUCUCUGAAUUCUUAUAUGCAUGAUUUGAUAUCUUUGCAAGUCUCUUAGAAUUAUCGCUAGUUUGGCCUACUAGAUUGAUCUUUCUUGGAAUGGGAGAAGUGCUUAACUUUGGGUUCAAUCUUGCGGUGUCCUUUCCCAGUGACAGUAGCGGCAGCAAGGCACAUACUGUAUUGUUGCCAUCGAGGAUAAAAAGAUGAGCUUUUCAUCAUACUGCUUGAGUUAAUUCCUCUACAUCAUGUCAUCUUGCUUAAUGUGUUACUCUGUUCUUUAUGAAGUUAAUACUCUAGAUGCAUGCUGGCUAGCGGUCGAUGUGUGGAGUAAUAGUAGUAGAUGCAGGCAGGAGUUGGUCUACUUGACAUAGACGUGAUGCCUAUGUUCAUGAGCAUUGCCUUAGAUGUCGUCAUAACUAUGCGCUUUUCUAUCAAUUGCUCGGCAGUAAUUUGUUCACCCACCGUAAUAUUUGCUAUCUCGAGAGAAGCCACUAGUGAAACCUAUGGCCCCGGGUCUCUUUUCCAUUAUAUUGAUUCUCGUUUACAUCUUGCUGGUUUCCGGUCUACUAUUUUGCAAUCUUUACUUUCCGAUCUAUAAACCAAAAAUACCAAAAAUAUUUACUUUACCAUUUAUCUAUCUCUAUUAUAUCUCACUUUUGCAAGUGACCAUGAAGGGAUUGACAACCCCUUUAUCGUGUUGGGUGCAAGUUGUUGAUAGUUUGUGAAGGUAUUCGGUGACUUGUGCAUUGUCUCCUACUGGAUUGAUACCUUGGUUCUCAAAACUGAGGGAAAUACUUACGCUACUUUGCUGCAUCACCCUUUCCUCUUCAAGGGAAAACAAACGCAAGCUCAAGAUGUAGCAAGAAGGAUUUUUGGCACCAUUGUCGCGGAGAUCUAUGCCAAUUCAAGCCAUAUCAAGUACCCAUCAUAAACUCUUCUCCCUUGCAUUACAUUAUUCGCCAUUCGCCUCUCGUUUUCCUCUCCCCCACUUCUAAACCGAUUUUCGAAAACCUUUGCCUUUUCUUCGCCCCUUUUUUUUCUUGCAUCUUCGCUUGCUAAAAAAGAUUAUGGAUCCCCAUGCACUUGCUAAUAUUUUUAAGAGAUCUAUUUAUUAUGAACCAAUCUCUAGUAAUUUGAGUGCACUAGAUUAUCUUUAUGAGGUUUUGCUUGAAAUUCGUGAAUCUGAAAGUUGUGAUGAAGAAAUUUAUGAAGAGAUUCAUGAUGGCUCCUUGAAUAAAAAGCAUGAUUGCAAUGAUGUUAUUAUAAAUUCUAUUAAGGUCAAUUGUGUUAAUGAUAUGCAAAGCCCUAAGCUUGGGGAUACUAGUUUUUCUAUGUCCACUACUUGUUGCAGCGAUCAUGGUUGGGGUGAUAAUGCUUUUUAUGAUCUUGAAAUUUUAUUUAAUCCCCACAAAGAAUAUAAGAUUAAUAAUAGUGUUUGCAAUAUUAUUGAAAGUGGGUUUGGAAGAGUGUCAACUUUAGAUCCCACAUAUUUGGAGAAUUUUCAAUCUUAUGAAAUUUUUGAUGAAAGUGGGUUUGGAGAGGUCAUGACUUUAGUUAAUGUUAAUCCCACUAUUUUGGAAGAGUGUCAACUUCGCACGCAUGUGGAUUGUGUUGAAAAUAUUUUAUGUGAUAGCUAUUUUGUUGAAUAUUCUUAUGAUCCCAUAUGUAAUUAUUAUGGGAGAGGAAAAUAUGGUCAUAGAAAUUUUCAUGUUACUAAAUCACCUCUCUUCAUGUUGAGAUUGCAAUUGUUUCUUUCCGCUUCCUUGCAUAUGCUAGUUUUUGCUUGCUACGAUAAUUUGUUUGCCCAUAAGAUGCCUAUGCAUAGGAAGUAUGUUAGACUUAGAUGUUUUUGUCACGUGUUUCAUGAUGCUUUCUGUGCGCUUCAAUUCUUGUCUUUCAUGUGAGCAUCAUCGAAAUCUCAAUGCCUAGCCAGGGGCGUUAAAUGAUAGCGCUUGUUAGGAGGCAACCCAAUUUUAUUUUUGUUCUUUUCUUUUUGCUCCUAUUUAGUAAUAAAUAAUUCAUGUAGCCUCUGGUUAGAUGUGGUUUUAGUUUUAGUUAGUGUUUGUGCCAAGUAGAACCUUUGGGAAGACUUGGGUGAAAGUUAAUUUGAUCUUGCUGAAAAAAACAGAAACUUUGCGCUCACGAGAUUAGCUGUCAGUUUUUACAGAAGAGUUCUUUUAAGUUGAUUCUUUUUGCAUAAGAUUAAUAGACAAAUUCCUCACGUGCACCAAUUUAUUUCAGAACUUUUGUAGUUACAUAAGUAUUCGAAAGUUAUAGAUUACUACAGAUUGUUCUAUUUUUGACAGAUUUUGUUUUUCGCGUGUUGUUUGCUUAUUUUGAUGAAUCUAUGAGUAGUAUCGGGGGGUAUGAACCAUGCAGAAAUUUGAAUACAGUAGAUUUUACACCAAUAUAAAUAAAUAAUGAGUUCACAACAGUAACUUAAAGUGGUGAUUUAUUUUCUUAUACUAACGGAGCUCAUGAGAUUUUCUGUUGAAGUUUUGUCUUGUGAAGUUUUCAAAUUUUGGGCAAGGAUUUAAUGGAUUUUGGAAUAAGGAGUGGCAAGAGCAUAAGCUUUGGGAUUCCCAAGGCACCCCAAGGUAAAAUUCAAGGACAACCAGAGGCCUAAGCUUGGGGAUGCCCCGGAAGGCAUCCCCUCUUUCGUCUUCGUCUAUCGGUAACUUUACUUGAGGCUAUAUUUUUAUUCACCACAUGAUAUAUGUUUUGCUUGGAGUGUCUUGUAUGAUUUGAGUCUUCGCUUUUUAGCACAAUCAUCCUUUCUGAACACACAUUUUGGGAGAGACACACAUGAAUCACGAUUUAUUAGAAUACUCUAUGUGCUUCACUUAUAUCUUUUGAGCUAGACAAUAUUGCUCUAGUGCUUCACUUAUAUCUUUUUAGAGCACGGCGGUGGCUAAAUUUUAUAGAAAUUAUUGAACUCUCAUGAUUCACUUAUAUUAUUUUGAGAGUCUUUUAGAACAACAUGGUAAUUUGCUUUGGUUAUAAAAUUAGUCCUAAUAUGAUGGCAUCCAAGAUGGAUAUAAUAAAAACUUUCAUAUGAAGUGCAUUGAAUACUAUGAGAAGUUUGAUUCUUUAUGAUUGUUUUGAGACAUGAAGAUGGUGAUAUUAGAGUCAUGCCAGUAGAGUAGUUGUGAAUUUGAGAGAUACUUGUGUUAAAGUUUGUGAUUCCCGUAGCGUGCACGUAUGGUGAACCGUUAUGUAAUAAAGUUGGAGCAUUAUUUAUUUAUUGAUUGUCUUCCUUAUGAGUGGUGGUCGGGGAUGAGCGAUCGUCUUUUCCUACCAAUCUACACCCCUAGGAGCAUGCGUGUAGUACUUCAUUUCGAUAACUAAUAGAUUUUUGCAAUAAGUAUGUGAGUUCUUUAUGACUAAUGUUGAGUCCAUGGAUUAUAUGCACUCUCACCCUUCCACCAUUGCUAGCCUCUCUUGUGUCACGCAAUUUUUACCGAUACCUUACACCCACCUUAUAACUUCCUCAAAACAGCCACCAUACCUACCUAUUAUGGCAUUUCCAUACCAUUCCGACAUACAUUGCCAUGCAACUUUCCACCGUUCCAUUUAUUAUAAAACGCUUCAUCAUUGUCAAUAUUGCUUUGCAUGAUCAUGUAGUAGACAUCUUAUUUGUGGCAAAGCCACCGUUCAUAAUUUUUUCAUACAUGUCACUCUUGAAUCAUUGCACAUCCCGGUACACCGCCGGAGGCAUUCACAUAGAGUCAUAUUUUGUUCUAAGUAUUGAGUUGUAAUUCUUGAGUUGUAAGUCAAUAAAAGUGUGAUGAUCUUCAUUAUUAGAGCAUUGUCCCAUGUGAGGAAAUGAUGAUGGAGACUAUGAUUUCCCCACAAGUCGGGAUGAGACUCCGGACGAAAAAAAAGAACAAAAAUAGGCCAUAAAAAAAGAGAAGGCCCAAAAUAAAAAAAAUGAGAGAAAAAGAGAGAAUGGGCAAUGUUACUAUCCUUUUUCUGCACUUGUGCUUCAAAUUAGCACCAUGAUCUUCAUGAUAGAGAGUCUCCUAUGUUGUCACUUUCAUAUACUAGUGGCAAUUUUCAUUAUAAGAACUUGGCUUGUAUAUUCCAAUGAUGGGCUUCCUCAAAAUGCCCUAGGUCUUUGUGAGCAAGAAAAUUGGAUGCACACCCACUUAGUUUCUUUUUUAGCUUUCAUACACUUAUAGCUCUAGUGCGUUCAUUGCAUGGCAAUCCCUACUCACUCACAUUGAUAUCUAUUGAUGGGCAUCUCCAUAGCCUGUUGAUACGCCUAGUUUAUGUGAGACUAUCUUCUCCUUUUUGUCUUCUCCACAACCACCAUUUUAUUCCACCUAUAGUGUUAUAUCCAUGGCUCACGCUCAUGUAUUGCGUGAAGAUUGAAAAAGUUUGAAAACAUCAAAAGUAUGAAACAAUUGCUUGGCUUGUCAUCGGGGUUGUGCAUGAUUUAAAUAUUUUGUGUGAUGAAGAUAGAGCAUAGCCAGGCUAUAUGAUUUUGUAGGGAUAGCUUUUUUUGGCCAUGUUAUUUUGAGAAGACAUGGUUGCUUUGUUAGUAUGCUUGAAGUAUUAUUGUUUUUAUGUCAAUAUUAAACUUUUGUAUUGAAUCUUUUGGAUCUGAACAUUCAUGCCACAAUAAAGAAAAUUACAUGGAUACAUAUGUUAGGUAGCAUUCCACAUCAAAAAUUUUGUUUUUAUCAUUUACCUACUCGAGGACGAGCAUGAAUUAAGCUUGGGGAUGCUUGAUACGUCUCCAACGUAUCUAUACUUUUUUAUUGUUACAUGCUAUUAUAUUAUCUGUUUUGGAUGUUUAAUAUCCAUUUAUACGCUAUUUUAUAUUAUUUUUGGGACUAACCUAUUAACCGAGGGCCCAGUGCCAUUUUCUGUUUUUUGCCUAUUUUAGAGUUUUGCAGAAAAUGAAUACCAAAUAGAGUCCAAAUGGACUUCAAACAGAAUGAAACCUUCACGAUGAUCUUUCUUGGACCGAAAGCAAAGCAGAAGACUUGGAGAUGAUGUUGGAGAUGCAACGAGGCAGCCACAAGGCAGGAGGGCGCGCCUAGGGGGGUAGGGCGUGCCCCCACCCUCGUGGGUCCCUCGUAGCUCCCCUGGCCUAGUUCAUUCGCCUAUAUAUACUCUUAUACCCUAAAACAUCAAGGGGAUCCACGAAACCACUUUUCCACCGCCGUAACCUUCUGUACCCGUGAGAUCCCAUCUUGGGGCCUUUUCCGGCAUCCUGUCGGAGGGGGAUUCGAUCACGGAGGGCUUCUACAUCAACACCAUUACCUCUUCGAUGAAGCGUGAGUAGUUUACCACAGACCUUCGGGUCCAUAGUUAUUAGCUAGAUGGCUUCUUCUCUCUCUUUGAUUCUCAAUACCAUGUUCUCCUCGAUGUUCUUGGAGAUCUAUGCGAUGUAAUACUCUUUUGCGGUGUGUUUGCCAAGAUCCGAUGAAUUGUGGAUUUAUGAACAAGAGUAUCUAUGAAUAUUAUUUGGUUCUUAUAUGAAUUCUUAUAUGCAUGAUUUGAUAUCUUUGCAAGUCUGUUCGAAUUAUCGGUCUAGUUUGGCCUACUAGAUUGAUCUUUCUUGCAAUGGGAGAAGUGCAUAGCUUUGGGUUCAAUCUCGCGGUGUCCUUUCCUAGUGACAGUAGGGCCAGCAAGGUACGUAUUGUAUUGUUGCCAUCGACGAUAAAAAUAUGGGGUUUUCAUCAUAUUGCUUGAGUUAAUUCCUCUACAUCAUGUCAUCUUGCUUAAUGUGUUACUCCCUUCUUUAUGAACUUAAUACUCUAGAUGCUUGUUGGAUAGCGGUCGAUGUGUGGAGUAAUAAUAGUAGAUGCAGGCAGGAGUCGGUCUACUUGACACGGACGUGAUGGCUAGGUUCAUGAUCAUUGCCUUAGAUGUCGUCAUAACUAUGCACUUUUCUAUCAAUUGGUCGGCAUUAAUUUGUUCACCCACCGUAAUAUUUGCUAUCUCGAGAGAAGCCACUAGUGAAACCUAUGGCCCCCGGGUCUCUUUUCUAUUAUAUUGAAUCUUGUUUACAUCUUGCUAGUUUCUGGUGUACUAUUUUGUAAUCUUUACUUUCCGAUCUAUAAACCAAAAAUACCAAAAAUAUUUACUUUACCGUUUAUCUAUCUCUAUUAGAUCUCACUUUUGCAAGUGAUCGUGAAGGGAUUGACAACCCCUUUAUCGCGUUGGGUGCAAGUUGUUGAUUGUUUGUGUAGGUAUUCAGUGACUUGUGCGUUGUCUCCUACUGGAUUGAUACAUUGAUUCUCAAAACUAAGGGAAAUACUUACGCUAGUUUGCUGCAUCACCCUUUCCUCUUCAAGGGAAAACCAGCGCAAGCUCAAGAGGUAGCAAGAAGGAUUUCUGGCACCGUUACCUAGGAGAUCUAUGCCAAGUCAAGCCAUACCAAGUACCCAUCAUAAACUCUUCUCCCUUGCAUUACAUUAUUUGUCAUUCGCCUCUCGUUUUCCUCUCCCCACUUCUAAAACGAUUUUCGAAAACCUUUGCCUUUUCUUCGAAUUCUCCGGAUUUCUUGAUGACGUGGUCAAGAAAGAAUCCCGCCAAUUACUAUUGAAUUGCUUUUAUACGAUCAUGUGGUAGGAGCUCAUCUCGCAGCUGCCAGUUCUAAAUCGAAGAAAAGGGUCAAUACAUGUGUAUGAAUGAAAUUCAACACAAAUGAUGGUAAUAAAAUAUAAUUGUGAAUAUUUUUGCUUACGCACUUGAUAUUGUUUUUCAGUGUAACCCCGCUUAUUCUUGGACGUCUCAUUGUAGAUGAACUCGCAAAUGUAGUAUCCACAGAAAUCAUUUCUUUAUUCCUGCCACAAGCACUUUACGAGAAAUAGAGGUCAAUCAAACUGAUAAGCACGCAUGCUAAAUGAUAUUGAUGAAACUAGCUACAAUCAAUGGGAGAUGCGCGGAACUAGGCAUAGUACUUACUUUUGGUUGUUUAAAUGUCAGCUCAGUCGGCAGUCCCGGAGAAAUUGCGGUGAACUUUUUCCGAACUCUGCCAGACAAAGAAAAUAAUUACUUGAUAUCAGGAAAUGAACAAAGUUGCCCAUAUGGUCCGAUAAUGAUCGAUUCAACUUACUUCUGGAGUAUUUCAGUCAUGUCCACACAGUCCUCGGGAUCUUUUCGUCUUGAGUCUAAGACGGUUACUUCUCCCUUCUCAAGCUUAAUCACUAGGAGAAUAAAGUGGAAGCUGCGCAAGCAUGCACAACCCUGCGCAAGCAUGCACAACCCAUCAGUUACAUGACUAUAACCUCGAGUAAUAAGGGAAACUGAAUAUGCACAAGACAGUGUAACACUCACUUGAAGUUGUAAGGAAAGUGUAUUUUAUCUUUGGUUUGAUUUUUGAGCAACGAUUUGAGCAAGUUUCCUCAGUCACUUUGGAAUUUUUUUUACCGUGUAUUCAUGUAUGACAUUUGGGUUAAUGAACCCAAUGUCAUAGAUUUGUGCUUUUCUGCAUUCGAUGAUCUUCAAUCUGCAUAAUAAUAUGGUGAGGAUAAUUUAUAUAUACAUGCAAUGAAAGAGCUGAGCUAUAUAUAUAGAGAGACUUAAUUACAGAAAGUAGUACUUACAGACAGUAACAAGCCACAAGUGAUUUGUCGAGGGCCUGUUGAUUGUAGAACUGAAAAAACACAUCAAAAUCAAUAGUUCUUGGCCAAUGAAGUCAUGGUCCUCUUUAAUCAGCAUCGACAAAGCAUUGAUUUGUCGAGGGCCUGUUGAUUGUAGAACUGAAAAAACACAUCAAAAUCAAUAGUUCUUGGCCAAUGAAGUCGUGGUCCUCUUUAAUCAGCAUCGACAAAGCAUCAAUUGGUUCUCCAACUUUGUCAGUUCAAGUACUUCCCGACUGGCGCGCUUCUUGCAAUGUCUUUUUAAGACAGCGGAGAUGGUUGUUAUCCAGCAAACACGGUGGCGGUCGCUUCGGGGCAUUGAGAGUUCUCUUCACUUUCACCGGAUCUAUCUUCUCCUCCGAAGGUGGUGCUGCUUGUUGAUUCGAGGCGGCUGAUUCUUGUGAACUUGCGAGCGUAUAUAAACCUGUGUAACUCGGUUUAAGGGAGCAAGGUGCGACUAUUUCAUGCCUAAUAUCCACGUGUGCUCUUCUUUUUUUACUGGUAAACGAAAAUCUCAUAGCAACACAGCCUCGCUCUCGGCCCAUAAGAGAAAAGGCCCGCAGCAGCACGGCGCUGCUCGUACAAGCAAUCGAUCGGGAAGGAAAAAACGAAUUUUAAUACCGCCUCGGAUAUAGCGAAAAUAAUAUUUUCACAAAAGCACCGUGACGUUGAACCCGACGGAGUCAAUCCGUGCUUUAUUAUUACUAGUAAAAGGGCCCGUGCGUUGCAACAGGAUAAAAGAAUUAUGUAUUUAACCACUUAUCACAAUGAGUGUUGAAUGUGUGCAGAUUUCAACUGUCUCGUCAUUGUUUGGUGUACGAAUAUUAGAUAACAAAAGGCUGUGGCUAGGUCUAAGUCGAUUGAGAUUUAACCAAGUUUUAGUCAAGUGACAUAACAUGCAAGAGAGAGAAAAAAACAUAUGUUUUUUCACGAAUAUCAAUGUAAGAUCUCACGGAUAUAGCAUCGACUAUCAAUGUAAGAUCUCACGGAUAUAGCAUCGACUGAGGCUCAGUCGACUUAAACUUAGCAAGACUGCAAUGUAAAUCUUUAUCAGGCAAUGCCACAUAAAUAAUUAUAAUUCUAAUGCAUAGACUAAUUCUCACAUGGUAAAUUAUUCUAAGAAGAAAAUAUAACCAUCUAGGUGAACAUGCUACUGGGCUCUAGUUUAUGAAUGGAGUCGCACUGUCCACAAAUUUCAUUUCAUUCAAGUAAACAUGAAGAUAUUUGUCUAACCUUGAUUGCCUGGAAGAGGAAAUAAAAACAUUAUUGUGCUUGUCAAUGGCUAGUUAUCCUCUAUGUAGCUACAGACCACUGCAGAUGCAAUCUCUUAACUUAUUAGUCACAUAUCAGGCGAUAUUCUUAUGAAACACAAGACACAAGUAAAUGCAUAGAGACCAAACAAAAAUAUUAGUCUAUGGAUCUAACAUACUUUUCUGCAUACCACCGCAUGGUUGUUGAUCUAGUUGCCAAAAAAUGAAAGACUACGCCUCCCAUGCAGAAGGUCAGUGAACUCGGAGAGAAUAGGGUAGCAAUCUCCAGAAUCAUGUAAGUUAUCUUCGGAAGUAGCAGAUUCCUGUAAGAUCGUUUGAUUAACCUGCUUAGCUGUGUCCAUUUGGUAGUAUGCUGCUAGAUGAAUUGUACUUGUUUUUUUUAACUAAUAAUUCAGAAAGGGAUCUCUUUCAAAAAACAACUCCUGUAGUGUAAUGGUUGAAGGACAUCAACGUUUGGGAAAAUUGCAGCUACCACCGCUAUCUCCAGGUGACAAUGUCCACUUCUUCACAACAUUCAAUUGGAGCUCACUGUUCACCAUCUGCAUGAACCACAUUUGAGCUUGUACACAUCUGUAAAUCAACCAGCACAUCAGCCCCAAGCACUUAUCCAAUUUCUACAAUAAAUCAACCAUGAAGAGCAGCCCCACUCUCUCUUAAAAAUCCCCAAUCUAUCUGCUCUCUUUCCUCACCCAUCCCAAUCUCCUUUUCCUUAAAAAAGAAGACUAUCAUAUUUGAAAUAUUUGUAAUGUAUUAUUUACUUAUUUUAAUUCAGGCUAGAACAACAGAUUCUGCGGUUGUUAUCUUUCAGUAACAAAUGAGGUAUUCUAGGCACGAAAUAAAAGAAUAAUUAGAUUAUAGUUUAUUUGGUAUGUUUUGUUCUAUCUAUAACCAUGAAAAUUCAAGAUAUUUCUUAUCACUAGUAGAAAAGGGGGCAUUUGUCCCGAUUCUUCAACCGGGACUAAAGGGUCAUUACUAAUGCCUCCACCCUUUAGUCCCAGUUCUAACACGAACCGGGACAAAUGGGUCUCCACGUGGCCACUACGAGCAGCCCAGGCAAGGGGGCCUUUGGUCCCGGUUGGUGACAUGAACCGGGACCAAAAGGCUUCCACGUGUCAGCAGCUGAGAUUUUUCUUUUUUUUAAAGUGGCUGGUUUAGGGGUUUUGGGGGUUAAUUUUAGGUUGUUAUUAGCUAGCUAAUAGAGAGAAGUGUCCUCUCUUAUACUGCUAUGUUCAUUUCACCCGUUGAUAUAUAAUAACUCAUGCAUGCUCGCAUCAUACAUCAUCAUAUAUAAUAACAAGUCCUACUAAUUAUGCAUCAUCAUACAACUUCUACUCGUUAUUAAUAACAAGUCAUACGAUCAUCAUCCUCAUAGUCAUCGAACCCAACCCUACAUAAUUGUUCUUAGCACAUGGUCAUCAGUAUCAGGUAGGACCUAAACACCCUUAAGGUAAAAAAGCAUAAAACAAUAUAGACCCUGACUCUCCAUUAUGAAGAAUGGAGAUCAUCCUGUCCCCAAUUCUUGCUCUUUGCCUCCUUUUGCUUGCAAGAAGCUCCUUACGACUGUCCAUACAUUUUUUCCAUUCUUUGAUUGUCAUGUCUCCACUUCUUUUAGAAAUCUGGUAUGGACAAUUGAGAUUCGUAGGACAACCUGGUUGUAUGUUCAAAACAUCAAGGCGACUGUGUGUAUACAUCAGAUGAGGCACACAAUCAUUCGGGAUUAUCUGUUGAAGAACAUAGUAAUAACUUCAUAGUUAGCAAUGAUUUACUAGUUUUAGAAGUAUUUAAAAAAAGAUGCAGGGAUGUCGUAAUAGUAAAAAAUCUUACCAGGGUAUCUCCAUGGUAGUUACCGUAGUUCAACACAUGCACUAGUGGCACGUAUUGACCAUAAUGUUGAGGAGUUCGAUUGUAGACAUUGUAAUUCUCAAGAUCAGUACAAAAUGCGAUCAGAUGAUUUUUCUCCUUAUAAGUUAAUUCGGAGCCAUCGGUGUAGUGGAUUUUGUCUACCAUUUUCCGCACAUUCUUUGAAGAAUGAAAAUAAGCUGUCAAUGGAAACAAGCUGUCAACUAUUUUGAAAUAAACAAUAUAAAUUACUUAAUAACUAUGUUAAGCUCACAUGGGGGAAGAAUUGGAGGUGUAUCCACAAGGACCCAAAUGCCCAUAUUGUCUUGCUGGAUUGUAGGAUCACCAAGAUGCAUGGUGACAAGCAUACCCUCAUCAAAACCAUACAUCUUGCAAAGUGCUUCCCAAUUUUUGCAACCGAAAUGGGUUACACUCUCAGCAUUGUACAACUUUACUUGAAAAUCCACACCAUGAUGAGUCCUUAGGAGAAUUUUUUUGGUUUCCUUACUUUCAUGGUCUUCAAAACCCAUUAUCUCCAAGACAUAGCGUCUUGCAUAGCAUGGGAUAAGCUAGUUGAAUUGGAAAAGAUGAAAAAUACAUGUUAAAAUAGUUGAAGUCGUGCUUAAUUACGAAAAAAAACUAGUGUCGUUGUUGUGUACCGUAUGAACAUCGAAGGUCUCCUCGAGCUUAAUGCUGAAGCGCCGAUCUUCGUCCAGCUCAAUGAACCUGUCGCACAUACCUCGGUCGUCGUGGCACCAGUCGCACUCCCCCGGACGGUUUUUGUCGUCCGAGUACACAUUUCCGGCCUAAGUUCAUAAUUCAAAUAUUAAAUAUAUGUACUAAAAAACCUAAAUUAGAUCAUUAUUAUUAAUCACGGGUUGACUAUUGGUGAUGGUACGUAGCUCCUCCUUUCAUUCCCGAGUGCAUUAUUACAACAAAUUGUCUAGCACACGGGAAUGAAGGAGAAGCUACCCCCACGACGAGGUGGAUGAUGGAGGGGGCUCCUAGAUUUCUGCAUAGAGUGCUCUUCAAUUUUAGCAUUCAAAGUAGGAGUACUUUUCCAAUAUGAGCAUUCAAUAAGCAAAACCAAAUCGUAAAAUAAAGUAGUAUUCAAAUUAGCAUGCAUUCAAUUAUAACCAAAAGUACAUCAUCUCUUGUGUCCGUACAUCGUCGAAUACUCCUCGAAUACUAUCAUACAUAUAGCAUCACUAAUUAAUACAGCUAGAACCGUAGCGCCCGACGGGUAUCGUCGCGGGCGGUGGACACCCAAAGAUAAGGAACGAUCACAGGAUCAUAGCUCCAGUGAGAUCCCUGAAGAACCUGCUAGGUAUUGUCGAACCUACCCUCCAACGCAACCAUGUAGCGACGGACGUGCUCGUCCUCCUCGCUGACGCGGUGACGUACCACCUCCGCGGUGUCCGGAAGCCUCGGCACCGUCACUGGCCCACGCGACCGCCACCAAACAAGGAUCGGGUCAACAACGGGCUGCCUCCUCACCAACCUACGCCCCCAGAAGGCAGCACCCCCAAAUACCCGCCCGACGGAGCCCAGUCCCGAACAUGGCCCUGAUCAAGCAGGCCUCCACCACCGCCGAGUCGACUACGACGAGGAUGCGGGAUAGGCAUCGUCGACGUCGAUGCGGGAACUACUUCUGUAUAUAGUUAAAUAAAGUAGUUUUAUUAAUUAAAUCAACUAGUUCAACUACUAAGCACUUACUAUAAAUAAAUAAAGUAGUACUUAUUAAAAAUAAACUACUUCUAUAUAUAGUAAAAUAAAUUGGUUUAUUAAAUCAACUAGCUAGUUCAACUAUAUAUGAAGCACUUACUAUAAAUAAAAUAAAGUACUACUUACUAAAAAUAAACUAGUUUAACUAUAGUUCUAUUAUUUUUCUAACUAAUUUUCCUAUACAUACACAAUAAAUUGACAAAGAAAAUACUAUGAACAAAAAANNNNNNNNNNNNNNNNNNNNNNNNNNNNNNNNNNNNNNNNNNNNNNNNNNNNNNNNNNNNNNNNNNNNNNNNNNNNNNNNNNNNNNNNNNNNNNNNNNNNNNNNNNNNNNNNNNNNNNNNNNNNNNNNNNNNNNNNNNNNNNNNNNNNNNNNNNNNNNNNNNNNNNNNNNNNNNNNNNNNNNNNNNNNNNNNNNNNNNNNNNNNNNNNNNNNNNNNNNNNNNNNNNNNNNNNNNNNNNNNNNNNNNNNNNNNNNNNNNNNNNNNNNNNNNNNNNNNNNNNNNNNNNNNNNNNNNNNNNNNNNNNNNNNNNNNNNNNNNNNNNNNNNNNNNNNNNNNNNNNNNNNNNNNNNNNNNNNNNNNNNNNNNNNNNNNNNNNNNNNNNNNNNNNNNNNNNNNNNNNNNNNNNNNNNNNNNNNNNNNNNNNNNNNNNNNNNNNNNNNNNNNNNNNNNNNNNNNNNNNNNNNNNNNNNNNNNNNNNNNNNNNNNNNNNNNNNNACGGAAAAAAAUCAUAAAAAUUCUAUGAAUAGAAAAAAAUCAUAAAAAUUUGACAUCUAAAUUACUUACACAGUAUGAAAAAAAUUGACAUCUAAAUUACAACAGAAACAAAUCAUAAAAAUUUGACAUCUAAAUUACAAUAGAAAAAUCAUGAAACAAACUAACACAAUAUGAACAAAUUAAUUACACAAUAUGAAAAAAAAUCUAACAGAAAAAUCUAUGAACUACACAUCUAAAUUACUACACAUCUAACAAAAAAUCUAUAAACUACAAAAAAAUAGAGUGCUCUUCAAUUUUAGCAUUCAAAGUAGGAAUACUUUUCCAAUAUGAGCAUUCAAUAAGCAAAACCAAAUCGUAAAAUAAAGUAGUAUUCAAAUUAGCAUGCAUUCAAUUAUAACCAAAAGUACAUCAUCUCUUGUGUCCGUACAUCGUCGAAUACUCGUCGAAUACUAUCAUACAUAUAGCAUCACUAAUUAAUACAGCUAGAACCGUAGCGCCCGACGGGUAUCAUCGCGGGCGGUGGACACCCAAAGAUAAGGAACGAUCACAGGAUCAUGCUCCAGUGAGAUCCCUGAAGAACCUGCUAGGUAUUGUCGAACCUGCCCUCCAACGCAACCAUGUAGCGACGGACGUGCUCGUCCUCCUCGCUGACACGGUGACGUACCACCUCCGCGGUGUCCGGAAGCCUCGGCACCUUCACUGGCCCACGCGACCGCCACCAAAUAAGGAUCGGGUCAACAACGGGCUGCCUCCUCACCAACCUACGUCCCCCAGAAGGUAGCACCUCCAAAUACCAGCCCGACGGAGCCCAGUCCCGAACAUGGCCCUGAUCAAGCAGGCCUCCACCACCGCCGAGUCGACGACGACGAGGAUGCGGGAUAGGCAUCGUCGACGUCGAUGCGGGAACUACUUCUGUAUAUAGUUAAAUAAAGUAGUUUUAUUAAUUAAAUCAACUAGUUCAACUACUAAGCACUUACUAUAAAUAAAUAAAGUAGUACUUAUUAAAAAUAAACUACUUCUAUAUAUAGUAAAAUAAAUUGGUUUAUUAAAUCAACUAGCUAGUUCAACUAUAUAUGAAGCACUUACUAUAAAUAAAAUAAAGUACUACUUACUAAAAAUAAACUAGUUUAACUAUAGUUCUAUUAUUUUUCUAACUAAUUUUCCUAUACAUACACAAUAAAUUGACAAAGAAAAUACUAUGAACAAAAAAGUCAUUAAAAUUCUAUGAACAAAAUUAGAACAGAAAAUAAUCAUAAAAAUUAUAUGAACAGAAAAAAAUCAUAAAAAAAUUUGACAUCUAAAUUACUUACACAAUAUGAAAAAAAAUUGACAUCNNNNNNNNNNNNNNNNNNNNNNNNNNNNNNNNNNNNNNNNNNNNNNNNNNNNNNNNNNNNNNNNNNNNNNNNNNNNNNNNNNNNNNNNNNNNNNNNNNNNNNNNNNNNNNNNNNNNNNNNNNNNNNNNNNNNNNNNNNNNNNNNNNNNNNNNNNNNNNNNNNNNNNNNNNNNNNNNNNNNNNNNNNNNNNNNNNNNNNNNNNNNNNNNNNNNNNNNNNNNNNNNNNNNNNNNNNNNNNNNNNNNNNNNNNNNNNNNNNNNNNNNNNNNNNNNNNNNNNNNNNNNNNNNNNNNNNNNNNNNNNNNNNNNNNNNNNNNNNNNNNNNNNNNNNNUCAUAAAAAAAUCUAACACAAUAUGAACAAAUUAAUUACACAAUAUGAAAAAAAAUCUAACAGAAAAAUCUAUGAACUACACUUCUAAAUUACUAUACAUCUAACAAAAAAAUUAAUAAACUACAAAAAAAUCAUUAAAAUUCUAUGAACAAAAUUAAAAUUAGAACGGCAAAAAUCAUAAAAAUUCUAUGAAUAGAAAAAAAUCAUAAAAAUUUGACAUCUAAAUUACUUACACAGUAUGAAAAAAAUUGACAUCUAAAUUACAACAGAAACAAAUCAUAAAAAUUUGACAUCUAAAUUACAAUAGAAAAAAUCAUGAAACAAUCUAACACAAUAUGAACAAAUUAAUUACACAAUAUGAAGAAAAAUCUAACAGAAAAAUCUUUGAACUACACAUCUAAAUUACUACACAUCUAACAAAAAAUCUAUAAACUACAAAAAAAUCUAAUAAAAUUAACUACACAUCUAAAUUAACUACUAUUAAUGUCAAAUUAAAUUAGUUGCUCACGGCGACGGCGACGGCGACGGCGAGGUGCAGCGCGGGGUGGGGGGCCGCGACGGCGUCGGGGCGGCGCGGGACGGGGCGUCGGGGCGGCGCUGGAUGGGCCGGGGAGAUGGAUUCGCCGUCGUCGGGGGAGAGCAAGCCGAAGAAGAGAUUGAAGUGGGGAUGGGCAGUUUCUGAAAUUUUCCUAAAUGCUACUUAUAUUGCAAAGGCAUUGGUCCCGGUUUGUGGCACCAACCGGGACCAAUGUAGAGGCCUUUGGUCCCGGUUGAAGGCACCAACCGGGACUAAAGGGGGGGCAUUAGUACCGGUUGGUGCCACGAACCGGUACCAAUGCACCCCUUUAGUUCCGGUUGGUGCCACCAACCGGGACUAAAGGCCCUGUGUUGCCCGCGUCGCGGCACGAAAGUUAGUCCCACCUCGCUAGCUGAGGGAGCUCGAGAGUGGUUUAUAAAACCCAGUCCCGCUGCCCUCUCGAGCUCCUCUCAAAUAUAGGCUUACGGGACUAAACUCACUAUAUGUGACUGUGGGCCUGUUGCGGGCCUGAAUCCUGGCCCAUUGUUGGGUUUCUAGCCGUAUUGAGGCCGUGGUAGCCCUUUAGGUGGCACUUUUUUAUUUUAUUUAUUUUAUUUUUUGCUUUGUAUUAUUUAUUUUCUUUUGAUUUUCGCUUUUUUAGCUCAGAUUAAUUAUAAUCUUUCUAAUUACUUAUUUAUUUUCUUUUAUGAUAAUUUUUUUUGCUAUUAAAGUUUGUAACAAAAUUCUAAUUACUUAUUUAUGUUCUUUUAUGAUAAUUCUUUUUGUUUUUAAUGUUUUGAACAGAAUUCUAAUUACUUUUUUUUAUGAUAAUUCUUUUUGAUUUUAAUGUUUUGAACAGAAUUCUAAUUACUUAUUUAUUUUCUUUUAUGAUAAUCCUUUUUGCUAUUAAAGUUUGUAACAAAAUUCUAUAUAAUUUUAGUUUCAAUAAUACUAGAGGUUUAUAAAAGCUUUUUAGUUGAUUCCUUCAGUACCAGUUCUAAGGCUGUUAUAAAGGCAUUUUAUUUGGUACAUGUUUUAAGGCUGGUGCCCCACGAGCACCUUUUAGUACCGGUUCGUGCCAUGAACCGGUAAAAGAGUUUUUUAGUUGAUUCUUUCUGCAGCUAUUUUUUAGUCCCACCUCGUCAAGCGAGAGGCACUCGCAGCGGUUUAUAAGCCCCGAGUGCAGAGACGAUGCAGAAGAGGCUCAAUGCUAACCUGCACGUUGCUUAGCUUUAAGCCUUGAGGAAUAGGGUAGACUGCACAGAGCUAUGUGCAGUGCAGUUUACACUAUUCCGAAAGGCUUGAAGCUAAUUAACGAGCAUUGCGCCUCUUUUUUAUUUUUAAAGACUUAUUACAACUCAAAAAUAAAUAGAAAAAAAUAAAUAUAGUAGAAAAGAAAAAAAUAUAUAAAAAACUACUCAGAAAUAAAUAGAAGAAAAAAUAGUUAUGAUUAACUUUACUAAAAAAAUGAACAUAGAUGUGCUUAUAGAGAAAAUUAGACCUAAAUUCAUAAUAAAUUUCUACUAACUUCAAAGAAAUUCAAUAUGAAUUUAGGUCAAAUUCCCUGUAUAAGGGCAUCUAUUUUCACUUUGAGAGGAGCUCAACAAGACAGAGAGGAAGGGGCUUAUAAACGGGUGUGAGCGCCCUUCGGUUGGCGAGGUGGGACUAAACACUGACCGCAACGAGGACCAACCCUUUAGUCCCGGUUCGUGCCACCAACCGGGACUAAUGGGCUGCCUUUGGUCCCGGUUUGUCCCACCAACCGGGACCAAUGGUGAUGGGCCAAGAGUGAGGUCCAUUGGUCCCCGUUCGUCCCACCAACCGGGACCAAAAGGUCCAGACGAACCGGGACCAAUGGCCCAUGUGGCCCGGCCGGCCCCCGGGGCUCACGACACGGGACUAAUGGGUUGACCCGACCUGGAUCAUUGCCCCCUUUUCUACUAGUGUAUGUUCGUGUUAAACAUAAUCAUGCGUGUAUAUAAGAUGCUUGUAAUAAGUUAUAUCAGUAUGGAAUAUUGCACUAAAAAUGAUGUUUCCAAUAGUUUCUUCCUCCUUUUUAGAAGGCAAACAUGAAAUAUAGACAUGCGUAUUGGUAGCUAGCGCCUGUUCUAUAGUAUAUAUAUAUAGCUACUUCAUGCAAUAUAUAUAGACUUAACUCUUCAUAUUUGAUGGAUACUAUGACAACAUUGGAUCAUACUGACUAUAAUAAAAAGUAAAUUUAAGCAUGAGACCAUAUCUUAUCGUCCAUGUAUAACUUCUGUAGUCUAGAAGACUGCAUGCUCUGACCCUUCGCCAUAAUCAAGUCAUCUAGUUCGGCUGUAAGCAUAAAAUAAAUAUAACCGAGCAAAACAAAGACCAGUGAACUAUUUGAAGUUUAGUCGGUUUUCUAGUGAUCUUUUUGUGAAAUCGUCGUUGACCUAAAAAAGUUCAAAUAAGGCGAUGAAAAUUAAAAUUAAAACAGGGAGAAAGAACAAAAGAAAUUGAGAAAACUUACAGUACAUAGAUCCGUUGCUUGGACGGAUUCAGAUGGAAUUGUUACUGUCCUUUAGAAAACCAAGUUAAUUUAUAGGAAAAGAAAGUUCAAGGGAUGUACAGAGAAAUUUCUUGUUUCAUACAGGAUAUUGAGGAUUGAGUAGAGGUCACUUACGUGUUAGCAAAAGGAGGCACAACGUCAUGGAAAGCGAUCAGUAGAUGGAGAAGUACGUGUCGUUACACACGCAUUGAUCAGUACGUACAGAAAGACAGCAACACGGAGUUAGAGCGUCUCACCGGUGGCGCCCAAGUGUGUGAUGAUCAUCAUCAUGUUGCCGAACUCAUCUACCAACAUCAGGCAUCAACUCACGUCCCCUUUGCACUGCUGCUGGACAGGUUUGUGUACGUACACCACGCACCAGUAGUUGGCGGCGCACUCCUCGGCGUUCCACUGCCAGCGUCAAGCGGGAGCUUUUCUGGCACAUUCAUACUCGGGAUCCUCAAGGAACUCGAUGCGCUUCUUGCAAUCGACAGCCAUGACUGCAGGGUGAUCUCUCCGUCGUUGUCGACGAUCGUCGUCUGCGGAGCUGAUGAGCCAGAAACCUCUUCCGAUCCAAGGUACUGCACGGCAUAGAUGGAGAUGUCUGAGUUCGGGAACAAAGAUCCCCUGUAGCGGCGCCGGCACGAUUGGGAGGGGCGGCGGGCUGCUUGUUUUUAGGGACGUUCGAUACGGGCAUCGAUCUACCAGUUUGUACCGGACACAAUUUCCUAUCCUAGCUGGGUGUGAUUUUUGCUGGACUCUUGGAUUGGGUCAAACAUGCGUCAGCAGACAGACAAUGAAGCCCACCAAGAUGCAUCAUGUGAUUUAUUUUGAUUUUGAUAAAGAUACGCAGAUAAAAUAGUAUCACCUCGGAUGUAGAAAAUAAUGUAGGUGAAAAAAACUGGAAGCGUAAAUUCACGAAAAGAAGCGUAUUGUGACGGUUAACCCACGGAGUCAAUCUGUGCUUUAUUAUUAGGAAAAGAUUAGGGAAAGAUUAUUAUUAUUAUUAUUAUAGCACAUAUGCCCGUGCGUUGCAACGGGGGAAAAUGUGGCACUCCCCUAUAGCCGAAUAAGUAUCCAUUUUUUCUAACAUGAAAAAGAAUUGCGCUUUCACCCAAAUCAUUGUUGCAAAACUCCUAAGGAAUGUGUGGAUUGUUUGGUUUUCAACUUCCCUAUUUUAUUUGGACCUUCACUAUUUCAGGUGCUAUCCAUUGACAAUGGUGUACUAAUUGUCCAUGAUUAAUGCAAGACAUAUAUGUAGUGCGAGGGACAGAAGGAUCUCGGAUAUUGGAUUAACUGAUGUGACUGCUUCAUUAACCAGAAACACAGAUAAUUAUAUUUUGUAAAUUGGGACAAUUUUCUUAUGGGCAAUCUUCUCACAAAGCUCUAUGAAAUUGCAUAAUUAAUUGUUGUGUUUCAUUAUGAGUCAUCCCAUGUGGAUGCAUGAUAUACUUAUACAUAAGAAAAUAAAUCUUGUUAUAUGAGACAUGAAUAUCGGAAGAAUGGUGCAUAUAGAAACACUUUUAUGUGAUGGAUGCUCAUGUGAUGCAUAUAUACACAAAAUUACAGGGGGUGCUUGCCUGUAAAUAAUUUCUGUCUAGAUAGUGAGUGCUUUCUUAAUAUAAUUUGUUUUGAAUAUACCGAGAAAAAUGGAAAUAGGAGUCGAUUGCAUACCCGCACUUAUUAGGUUGUGCGCAAACGUGUGCUUGCUUGCUACCAUAGUUGUAUGCAUCUUGUCCAUGGAGCUUGCUUACUUGCGUGCGUGUUGCAUGGAUCGUGGCAUGUCCACAGGUGACUGAUCUAAAAAUAAUACAAUGUCAGGGUGCUCGACAUGGACGAUGCAUUAGUACCUAGCCUUGUCGUAUACGUUUCCCGUCCAAGUACACGAGCGUGUCCGGAUAUACUCCCUCCGUUCCAAAAUAAAUGACCCAACUUUGUACUAAAGUUAGUAUAAAGUUGAGUCAUCUAUUUUGGAACGGAGGGAGUAUAUGUGUGCAUGCAUGAGGUAGCUGUUUUUUUUUUUGCGAGGACAUGAGGCACCGCCGCUCUCUGCUCCCUGGCGCUCCUCCGCAAACCAUCUCCGCCUCCUGCCCCGCAGUCUGCUGCCUUUUUUUUUUGAGGAAACGCAGUCUGCUGCCUAGGUCCGACCUCCUCGUGUAUCUCCUGUGCACCGCGCAGCACCCGAUUUCCGGUCCUGUGAACGGGCGAAACAAUUUUAUUUUACUGUACUAACUUAAAUCUAUAGCGCGGGUUGAUUGUCCAAAACUUCAGGGGGCUUUGUGUAAAAUGUGCGUGACGGUGAACCCGGAGAUCCAAUCCCUGCUUAAAUCUAUAGCGCGAGUUGAUUGUCCAAAACUUCAGGGGGCUUUGUGUAAAAUGUGCGCGAUGGUGAACCCGGAGACCCAAUCCGUGCUUUAUUAUAUACUAGCAAAAGGGCCCGUGCGUUGCAACGGGUAUAAAAUUAGUUUGAAAGUUUGUGUGUGCAACUCCCAAUCCAUCUCCUUCUGCCUUGUCUCAUCUUCCCUUUUAUUGAAACUGCUGGGCAGUGAAUACUACAAUUGCAAAGGCCACGAUAAAUUGAACAUGUUUAAUUAGGAUUACUCUUAGCCUCCAACACAUUCUUAACAUAAAAAACAUUAAUUAUAAAGUGUCAACCCAAUGAUGGUGACCAAGUGAAAAAAGGAAAAGAACUUCAAGUAAUUCCGGACGGACGGAGUAUGUCAAUAAUAAAGAGAUGUGACAUCAUUUUUGAACCAGUGAAAUAAUCUCACAUAUGUAUGACAAUGACAUAAUGUUAUCAAGCGGAACAAAUACCAUUAGUAUUUUUCUUUCCUUUGAUCCCAACAUAUACUACUUAGUAGAUUCAGAUACACAACCAAGGUUGUGCAAGAGCUAUUCCGUUACCGGCGCCAAUUAAAUGAAAUAAAAAGAACUUGGGCCUUUGCUCUCAUAUGCAUCAAAACAAUAUGUAAAGGGAUAGUUUAACGGAAAAAAGACCUAACAAACAUAAUGUUUCAGGCCUCGAAGAGGUUGAUCUGGAUGCCCUCGGUCUCCUAGACCUAGUGCAACAUAGUGUUACACAUUGAUCUGCAAUUCUGUUGCUGACCCUUAACAGUGACUUGCACAUGGCACCAUGGCUAGGCAUUAUGUCAAAUACAUGACCAAUAUUACCAAGAAAGAGACAUCAAAAAAACAUGCUGAUAAGUGAUAAAACGCCUAAUCUGCUCUGCCAUGAUCAUGGUGAUGGAUGCUAUCUGGACAGUAUCAUUGAGGGGGUAUGGAUGGCAGAGCUAGCUGGACAACAUCUCAUAUGAUGCAUGGCGGUGGCAUUGCCGACCUUAAGCUUCUGCCCGAGCAUGUGGCAAUUUCAGUCAUGAUUGGAUCAUGAUCUGGGAUGCUUGACCUCUCGGGUAGUGCAAAAGACUUUAAUAUACAACCUUGGUGUAAGGUUUUAAGCAUUAUUACCAUUAUCUAAAAAUUCAUAGAAAUGUAAGUCAGUAGGAAUUCCAUCUACACUUGAUACUUAUAGGAGCUGCUAUAUUACAAACUUAAAAAAAAUCUAUGUACUAAGAUUUGGAUUGCUGAGCAUGUCCAUGUUAUAAUUCUACAUAGUAUGUACUCCAUUUCCUUGUUUUAAUAGUAUUUCGGCAGAGCUCCUGCUUGGUUCUUCAGAAAAUAGAAUACUCACACCUUGUGGGAGACGCUCAUCUGAAUCACCUGCAAAUAUAUAGAUUACAUGUGGGUUUUAUAAAAAAGUAACUAAUUAUCUUGCCGGCGCGGCCUUGUGCGAAUAUCCGACAAAACAAGAAUGAGCAAUUUUGUUUUCAUAUACAGUAAUUAUCAACCUACUGAGAAUGCAGUAAACCAUAUAUCCACCUAAGCUUAUCAAGGGUCCAAUCAUAUAUGUACGCAUCCAUUAAUUCCAUCUCUUCAUCAUCAGGUGUCUAAUUAUGCAUCCAUUAAUCGAACAUAUCCAUCAGUUCCAUGUUUGUAUAACCAAGUACUAUAUGUAUAAGGAGCUGAACAUAGAUCAGACCUGAGAUUAAAUGGGUUGGAGCACGACCACCGUAUGUCCCAUCGGUCAGGUAGGAGCUUGAUACAUGACAGUACGUUUAGAGAGGCAUGAUUUAGAUGGAGAGGGCGUCCGGUCGUGGUGGAGGAUGGAGAAAACUUAAGGUGGGGCAAACUCAAAACUCAAAACUCUGGAUCGUGCUUGUUCCAGCGUUUGACACUUCGGCCACCUACUAUCAAUUAUCAAAAGAGCACUACUAUGUACGAUCCAGAGUAGUCACUUUGAGAAAUUCAGACCAUUGACAGAAAUUCAGACCACCUACUAUCAAAAAAGCACUACUAUGUAUGAUCCAGAGUUGACACUUUGACAGAAAUUCAGAAACACAGGUUCCAUUGUAGAGUUCAGAAAAAUUAGCACGUCUGAUGCCCCUUGCCCCUACCUUUACUAUGUACUUCAUCUUUGAAUCUGCGGACAACCAAACAAUCAGUCAAUCUCCAAUCCCUGCAAAAUAAAUAUGUUCUUAGAAAUUUGGAAUACAAUUUACCACUCAAACAACUUUUCAAGUAGCAAAAUAAUUUAAAAGUACUCAGAAGUACACUUUCUACGCCAUGUCGAAAGUAUUUGCUAACAAAUGAAGACACAUCUCUGGAAGCAUGUGAAAAUGGAAUUGGCAGGAAAAUUUGACACUGAAUCUCCAGGGUUUUUCCUUGAAGUCAGGUCAGUCUGCACCUUAGCAACAAGAAUUUUGAUCUGCUAGUAUUGUCACAUACAUGUAGGCAGCUGAAACAAUGGGUAGUGUUUCAGGAAUCUAUAUAACAAUGUCAAAGAGAGAGUAAUUAAGAUGUCAUCGUAUUAGUUCAGGAUGACAACUUAACUCUCUAUAAUAAUGUCAAACAGAAGGUAAUUAAAAUGGCAUCGUAUUAGUUCAAGAAGACAACAACACUUUAAACAUAUAAGUACAUGUAUUGUUCAACAUUAAUAGAUGAUCAAAUGUAGAAAAAACUGGCACCUUGAGCAGAAUUUUAACAGGAACAAAACAUAGAAUACUGUAUGAGAGAGAGAUGGGGCUGCAGCGUUGCUUACACAUAAAUUUUCUUGUGAACAUUCAACAACUGGAUCAUGACUUGGGGCGAGGGAUCCGUGGUGGUCGUUCCUGUCCACCACGACCGCUCUCGCUGUAAGCAACGAAAAACGAACCCGCAUUUUUGAGAUCUGACAGCAGCUGACUGUUGACUCCCCGUUCGCGCUCUGUAAACGCUCACACAGCUGGAAUAAAAGGCAAAAGUAUUGUCACCUGUUACCUUUCUUUCAUGAAUUACAUUGCAUCAGAGAAUGGUAAAGGGCAAGGCAAAUCACAAAGUAACCUGGUUAACCUAUUGCAAUAUCCACUCCUUUAUUUGUUUUCAUGGAACUGAUUUUCUAUCCACACAACAACCAUCUCACACAGGUUGUGCACAUAACAUCUGAGCCAACAUUUUCUUUACUGACAACGGAUUCAAUCCUGUUUUUUUUCGAAAAGGGGGGACUCCCCGGCCUCUGCAUCAGAACGAUGCAUACGGAUUCAAUCCUGUUGAUGCAAAAAUUAUUCCAUCAUGAAAAUGAGUUAAUUUGCAGCACUGAAUGGGCAAUUAAAUUCAUGUACAUCACAACCCGUCAUAAGGAACUAACCUGACAGCGUGAGUACCAUCAAAUAAACACAGACCGACCUUACUUUAUGUGGGUCUGUAUGCACGAACAUAGAGCAUUACCAUAUCAGUUGCAAUUUACGGAUAAUUCAUAAAAGAAUCAUCUCAUGAGAAACUCGUCCAUGCAUGGAAAUUUGAACAAGCGAUGGAAAAUAGAGAAAAUGGCAUACCUCUGCUAUUAACAAAUUGAGGACCGUCCCUUUGUACUGGCUCAACACUUCUUUACAUAACGUGCUAAUAAUUCUCUCAGCUCCAAUUGCAUGGCUCCCUGAACAAUUAUAGCCUGCAAACAGCAUAACAUAGGCAACAAUCUAGUCUAACAAAAGACAUAAUCUAUUUCUGUAUUUCAAGGCCAUGUUGUGCAGAAGUUUAGACGAUUCUGAAACUAAAGAAGGCACCUCAAAUACUCAGCAUGUUGCUUUGUUCCUCACCUGUCUCAGUGUGCGUCGGUGACAGCCAAAGGCACCCAACAUGCCUCCACCUGGAAGGACUUCGCGCCGCCACGCCGGAUCCCUCUGCCUCCCACCCAUGUCUGCCGUCGCUUGGCUCCGGCGAGCUCCUGCCUAGGCCGUCGCGCCAUCCCUUCUUUCUCCUAGCGGCGCGAGCGACGGACUACGUAGUUGCGCUCCUCCCAGUGGAGCCGCAGCCGGCGAGACGCGCUCCUCCCAGGGCUGGCAAUCCCCAGCUCCAGCCGCCGCCGUCGUUCUGCAAGCUCCAGUCGCCGCUGCCGAUCUAGCCGCCCCCGCCGUUCCGCAUCGAGAGGUGGCGCCGCGUUGACCCGAUCCAGAAGGAGUGCUCGAGUGUCCUCUGCCUCCAAGUCGCCGGCGCCUAGUUCCAGACCAGAUCGGAGUAGAGGUGGGGGCGGAAAAGGGAGGGAGGAGGGAGAUGGCUAGGGAAAAGAUGGAGAAGAUGGGAGGAUGGAGCGCCGACGGGCAUGUCAUCCACCACGGUAUGGCCUGGGGGAGAAGAUGGAGAAGAGGGGCGGACGGAGCAUCGGCGGGCAGGCUGGAGGGGCGGCGGUUCGUGUGUGGGUCGAAGAAGGAGACGGGGGCGAGGAGUAAAAAUCGAAUCGUUUUUUUUUCACUUAGCCAUCGGGACUACGGGUUCAUUACCAAAAAAGUAUAAGGACUUCUAUGUAAAAACGCCGNNNNNNNNNNNNNNNNNNNNNNNNNNNNNNNNNNNNNNNNNNNNNNNNNNNNNNNNNNNNNNNNNNNNNNNNNNNNNNNNNNNNNNNNNNNNNNNNNNNNNNNNNNNNNNNNNNNNNNNNNNNNNNNNNNNNNNNNNNNNNNNNNNNNNNNNNNNNNNNNNNNNNNNNNNNNNNNNNNNNNNNNNNNNNNNNNNNNNNNNNNNNNNNNNNNNNNNNNNNNNNNNNNNNNNNNNNNNNNNNNNNNNNNNNNNNNNNNNNNNNNNNNNNNNNNNNNNNNNNNNNNNNNNNNNNNNNNNNNNNNNNNNNNNNNNNNNNNNNNNNNNNNNNNNNNNNNNNNNNNNNNNNNNNNNNNNNNNNNNNNNNNNNNNNNNNNNNNNNNNNNNNNNNNNNNNNNNNNNNNNNNNNNNNNNNNNNNNNNNNNNNNNNNNNNNNNNNNNNNNNNNNNNNNNNNNNNNNNNNNNNNNNNNNNNNNNNNACACACACACUAGCACAAAUGCCCGUGCGUUGCAACGGGAGGCUACAAAACUUACCUCCAAGCAUGCGAGCUGCAAGCCCAAGAGCCUCCAGCACCCUGAUCGCAGUGGACCGGCAUUGAAAAUUCGCGCGAUAGCUGAGGAAGAAAGGAUGUGGCAUCCACGUGUAGUGGGUCAUCGACGGCUAAAUCUCUACUAUGAAAUUUAAAAAGAAAACUAAUAUGUGAUUGUGUUAUUUCUAGUUCAGUCCAUAAACUAAUUUGGGUUUAAUCUAUCAAACUAAACCAAUGAUUAAUUUUAUGAAACAAAUUCAUAUAGAAGACGUUACAUCUCAGCAAUCUGGGGUUUAAUAUAUCAACAGAAUAAAUGUCAGCAAUUUGGGGUUUAGUAUAUCAACAGAAUAAAUGCUUUGUCCUCCAAAUUUAUAUGUAGUAAGAGAAUACCUAUUGGAUAACAGAAUAGAAGGAGAAAUAAUCAACAGUGAUGGUGAACAGUAACAUAAGGAGCCUAGGGAUGUGCAUAUGAAGAACGGUGCAAACAUGGUGAUAACUGCAUUGCCAUUAUCGCCAAGCAAAAGCAACUGGGGCAACAACCCGUAUUAUAAACCCAAAUAUACGUGUGUGUUCCAAUGGGAGAAGGGAAAAAAAAUCCUCAUACGCACCAUCCCCACAAUCAUGCUCACUAUCUGAAGUAUAUCAAAUAUAAUCAAGAAUUAGACAUUAAUUAAUGCUAACAGACAGAACAAAGUAGAUCGCUAUGCAUAAUACACAUGAUAUCCGGUUGUAUAUAUACAACCCCCAAAUUUGAAAUGUUAAAAUGAUUUUGAAACUCAAACAGUUUGACCAUUGAUCAUAUCAACUAAUCCGCACAAAGAGUUUUACGGAAAGGCAAUUAGCUAUCACAAGAAAAUUUGAAGGGCAAAUCUCUGAAAAGAAAAUACGUUAAACAGUACAUCAAGAAUAUGAUUAUGAAAUAAAAAAACUUCCGUACUAUAUACCUUAUCAAAUCAGGUGACAAAGGAACCCCUCCAUAUUAAUAUAUUUUAUUAUACACCAAGAUCUCCUAGCUCUGUAGCAACUAACUGCAGUUUUGCUUCAAUGCAUGAAUAGAAAAUUUAUGUUGAAAUACUACUAACCAUAAAACAGCAUGAUAUAUGUUGGCAUAUAGAAACUACAAAAGUAAGUUAACACAUCACACAAUAGUACGAGCAAGCUCACCAGGUCUCAACUCUCAGCAUGUAAUCCGUAGCAUCGGUGUUGUUACCGAGUGAAUUUCUCCUUCCCGCACAUAGACAUUGUCACAUACCUCUUUGAAUAGAUACUUAAUAUGAGAAUCUUGUGAAAUUAUUUUCCUCGCGUGUUAGGAUGGUGAAAUGUUAUGGUAACAGAGCUAACGACCCGUGUGAUAGAUUUAGCCUGCUGAUCAUAAUAUUUUUUGAUAUAUAAGCAAGAAUAGUGCUAAACUGCUCAUAUCUAUCCGUUGUAACCAAAAGUCUACAAAUGAUGAAUCAACAUGUAAGUCUAGCAUUGUUUCGAUCAUUAUUAGUUUAACACUGAAUAAUAUUAAAUAUAUACAGAAAAUUUAGCAACACAAAAUUAGUUUCCUACAUAUACAUGGAAUGACAUUUAGGUGGAUAGUGAAAUAACUAUACAGAAAGGAGGAAACUUUAUAGCAGCUCCGCAUACUUAUUGAGUAAUCCCCUAUCAUCUGCCCUUUACAUCGUCGUCCUUUUUCUCAACACUUUAUCUCCCUGCCAUGCGCUACGUCUGCACCAAACAUGAGCAGCCACAUUAUGAGAUGGAUUCAGAAUAGCUUACCAUUGCAGCAAGAAAACAUUUUCUUGCAUCAGGAAAAGACCUUGAUUUUAUUGAAGUCGUACAGUGAGCAGUCAAGUAACAUGCACUAUAGCAGAUCCUGUUCUGCCCCAACCAGGCAAGUCUCUUCAAGUACUAAUGAUGAAUGUUCUUCUUUAUUCCCCAUGCAAAUACCAAAAUGGCAAAUUGUUUAGGAGAAUAACACUGUCAGUUGGAGAAGGUUGUUCUUUGCUUAUUGGUCAUCGGGACCCAACUUUUACACAGAAAACACAUGAAACAGAAGAUAUACUGUACUAAGGUGAAUGCAUCAAUCAUGAGACAAACUAAAAAAUUCAUACACACACACACAAAUUAUGGUGCUGAUACUGAGACGUUAGUGUGCGCCUACCUUAAAUUGCAUGUAUCUUCCUAUUCGUUUCUUCAGUUCAAGGGAUCCUACUGCUCGAGUGUCAGUGUGUCCAGCCCGCUUGAAUGCCUCAUCUCAAUUUGUGGUGAUUCUAUCAGUCCCGAAGUAACUUGCCGUCAAGGGUUUCCUAGUUAAUUUAGUCAACUGCUCAAUUUCAAAAGGGGAUUUGGCUUUACAAGGAGUAGCUGGGUGACUUUCAGGUGUGCAGCACAGUACCUUGUUCGUGCUUGGGGCUCAGGGAGGAGGCCGGCAGGAGCUUCGGGAGGGCGCCGACAGCAGGAACUUGGGGAGGCCGGCAGCCCGAGGUGAGGUCGAAUUAAAUUUCCGCCUCCACAGACAUCCGCGUGCACUAGAGGCCACCAUUGCUGCAGACCUUCCCGGGACAGGCGGCCGUGUGACCGUGUCCAGAAGCUCUGCCUCGUCGUCAUCCUCCUCCUCCCUGAAGUAAUCGAGCUGGGAUGCACGGAAUUGUUGGAAGAGAGCAGGUGUGUGGUGGGCCUGCGAGACUCGGGGGUCGGGCGUUGAGGCGACGCAAGGCCGGCGGCGGCGACCAGGGCGGCGCGCGAGGCGGUGGUGGCGGCACGCAGCGGAGCGGCAGGUGGUGGCGGCGCGCUGGAAGUUGAGAUAAGUACCUGCUCGCCGGCCCGCAACGACUCCGUCUUCUGCUCAUCCUCCGGCGCGCUGGAAGUUGAGAUAAGUUGAGGAAGCGGCGAGGGAUGUGGAGCUCGACUGGGUCACGGUCAAAACACCGUAGUAUGAAGGAAAAACCAAUCGUUUCCGAAUUUGAGUCUCUGAUAGUUUUAUUUUUUGAUAGUCCAGCCGCUGAUUCGUUGCAAGUAGAAAAACGGGCCCAGGCAAGCCCAGCAGGGAAGGGAGCCGGUGCGAUCGUUCGACGCACACGACUUGAUUUCAUUAGUACCAUCUCGUGUAUAUUACAAUUUUUUUCCAUACAAAUUGUAAAGUGUAUUAUGACAUGAGAAGAAAGCGUAUUGUGACGGUGAAUCCGGAGACCCAAUCCGUGCUUUAUUAUUAGGGAGAGACUAGCAAAAAAGUCCGUGCGUUGCAAGGGGAGAAAAAUAAUAACAUCACAACCCAUCACUGCACACACAAUCUGCUUCAUCCACUUGAACACGGUAACCAAUCCGUCUCGUAGUUAUCCUUCUUCCCGCCGUUGUUGACAUUCACCUAGUCGCAACGUGUCUGAACGUGGUCAAUCUCAAGGCGAUGAACUCACCCACCACACUGUCAUUGAACUACACCAGCACAAGAGAACAUUUUUUAUAACUUUAAAACCUAAUCUUGUCGAGCUAGACCAUGAGGGCUGCCUUCCACGAAUUGCUUCCUAAUGUUCGUGAUUGUUACAUACUGAAAAUUUUCUCACAACCAAUAUUUGUUAAUUUGGUAAAAUUUGUAUAAUAUCAACCUUCAAAUUUGGAGUAUAGUAAAUGAAAAAAAGAUGAAACAUAAUUGUUUGCAACAGAAAUCUAAAUUGUUAACAAAUCAUCUAAUGAUAUACACAUUUCCAUCUAUAAAUCUUCAAUACAUAUUACUACAAAAAAGAUCAUCUGCCCAUUACGAACAAACUGAGAUUUAUCAGGAAACCACUCAGGAGUGUAGUACAAUUUGUUCACAUUGACAACAUACUCUCCGAUUUGCUCUUGAGAAUUAAGAACGAUACCAAUACAAAACUUAUUUUUUACAUCCACAUGAAGCCAAUGGUAGUGAUACAAAUAAAAAAGCGGCUAAUCAAUCGGCGUAACUACCGCUCGCCAAAGUACGACUCGCACGCGAAGCAGCCUCACCUUUCUUGGAUAUGGCAUCAAGUUCAUGAUCGAUUCCUACGAACUUCACGACAAACCCCAAAACUGCAUAGAUGUUUCUUUCGUGAAAUAAACGAUAGAUGCAAUCAUGAGAAGAUGCGUUAUUAAAUGAACAGAUAAAUAAAGAGGAUUUUAAGCCUGUGCAUUGCAAUGGGAUAAAAUGGUGGGAUGCAGAACCAGCUCUAUCAUAGGGUUGAGUGUUCGGGGUGCAGAAGCAGCUCCGCCUAGGGUUGAAUGUUCUUAGGGGAGGGCAGUAGCAGCAGAUCAUUUGAGCUAGUUGAGACCAGUGCGUGUGUGUUUUUACAUUUUCUUGAUAGUAUAUUUGUAUUUUCAAUAGUAACUUAUUUGUAUUUCUGGUGCAAGCAAUAAAUAAGCAGUUGCAAGCACACCAAAUACAUACAUUAAUCCACUACUCAAUACAUACUGGAUCACAGUGCUAAAGUCUGUUUCUACUUACAGAGUUUACAUCUUUUUUAGAUGAUACAAAGCACAACACGUGCUCUCAGGACCCUCCGGUGAGCUCAUCCACUCUUUAGUUUUCCACCCCUUUUAACCUUUAAUUUUGUUGGCCUUUCUUAUGGAUUUUCAUUAUUUCUUCUCUUUAUAUUUUCAAAUUGUAAUGGAGAUGAAAUGCACCUUGUUUCUUCUCUUUAUAUUUUCAAAUUGUAAUGGAGAUAAAAUGCACCUUGUUUCUUCUCUUCAUAUGCUCAUGAGGACAGUGCUAUUGCAUCUGAAUCGCCAAGUUGUUGAAGAAUCUGGUCUUUUUGUGCUUGCCUACAAAGCUUUCAUAUCUUAUAUUUGUUGGACAAACAAAAAUAACUGAUGGUUGAUUGUCUCAACCAUCAGUUGAGAACAUAGAGAUUUCCACGAAUGGGCAUUUCUGGACUGUUGANNNNNNNNNNNNNNNNNNNNNNNNNNNNNNNNNNNNNNNNNNNNNNNNNNNNNNNNNNNNNNNNNNNNNNNNNNNNNNNNNNNNNNNNNNNNNNNNNNNNNNNNNNNNNNNNNNNNNNNNNNNNNNNNNNNNNNNNNNNNNNNNNNNNNNNNNNNNNNNNNNNNNNNNNNNNNNNNNNNNNNNNNNNNNNNNNNNNNNNNNNNNNNNNNNNNNNNNNNNNNNNNNNNNNNNNNNNNNNNNNNNNNNNNNNNNNNNNNNNNNNNNNNNNNNNNNNNNNNNNNNNNNNNNNNNNNNNNNNNNNNNNNNNNNNNNNNNNNNNNNNNNNNNNNNNNNNNNNNNNNNNNNNNNNNNNNNNNNNNNNNNNNNNNNNNNNNNNNNNNNNNNNNNNNNNNNNNNNNNNNNNNNNNNNNNNNNNNNNNNNNNNNNNNNNNNNNNNNNNNNNNNNNNNNNNNNNNNNNNNNNAUAGAUGCGUUUGAUAUCGAAAUAAAGACAUGUGGCCAUAUUAUUCUCGUACUCAUUGAUAUGCAUACAGCAGUCUGCUCGUGUAUCUAAUUUUUUCUUGCUGGAUUGUGGUAUUAUGCGGUUUGCCUUUCCUGUUUUCGGACAAUCCUAUUUUAUCAAUUCAUCAGGAAGAUAUAUGCUUUUAUUAUCAAGCCCACCCAGCUUUAACUUGGCCCAGCCCAUCUACAGGAGGAGCACAACAGGAAGGGAUAUAGAGCGACAAAUCCUAUUUUACUGUUGUUUCCCGGUUUCCACAUCGCGGCGACUCGAUCCGCCACUCUCGGCCAUGGCGCUCCCGAAUGAGUCAGAUUUAUCGAGGGACAAGACUGGCAAGUGCUCCUCCGUGUCGAUCUUCGACCGAGGUAGGUAAGAUAUCCUUUCCCAUCCGUUCUUUUCUCUUGCUCUCUUCCAAGAUCUGUUACGCUUCUACAGCUAGGUUGUGGGAGCUAGGAAAAGUACAGGGCCGUUAAGAACACUAGGCGCUCCCAUUCGGUCGACAAUGGAGGUUUUCUUCGUCCUUGCGAUAUCCAAUCUCCUGUCGCCAAGCAGACCCACGACACAUCCCCUCCUCGCCCCAAUCCCCUCUUCUUGACCAUUUGUGCCUUUAUGUUCUUAUAUUAUGUUAAUAAAACCAUGUACUAAUACUUUCGUUCUGGUAUUGCCAUUGGCAAAAGAAGUUUAAUACACCUGGGCGUUGUUUUGUUCUUGAUCAGAUGUAUGGACGCGCCUAUAACUAAACAUAAAAAUAGGAUAGACACUAAAUUGUUUAAAGCUGCAGAAAUUGAGAACUACACAGAAGCACACUGGACUAACAGUAUAUUUACUACCAUUUUUUCGUGAAUAGAGUAGGGACAAUAAGAUUUGUACUUGAUGUACAGAGUUUCAAUUCUCACAGUAUAUGAGUUGUAUUUGAUCUUUUAUAUGAUCUCAACUUUACUAUUCCCAAUCAAAGUAUGUUUUUAACGCAACUUUGUUUCUCCUAGAGCACUGGUAGCAACCACAUCAUGAAAGGGUCGACGAACGAUGAUCCGAUAUGCGUCGCUGACAGCGAAGGUUAAAUUUCAGUGCACUCUCUUGCAGCACGAUCAUUUUGUACUAUCUUUGGUACUUGCUACCAUUUUUGUGCUAUUUAUGUAACAUCCUAAUUUCUGUUGCUCUUUGAAAGAUGUUUUACUGGAACGCGAUAUUGGAAUGUUUUGUCUGAUUGCUUCUCCAUGUAAUUGUUCUUCUAUUGAUAUUUUAAAGUUUUCCUCUCAUUAAUGAGUGUAGAAGGAUCGAUAAAGCAAAUUCUUUGAAUGAACAAGCUAAUCUCAUUUUCCGUUGCAACUAGGAAUUUCUGUGGAUAAUUAUGCUAAUAUAUGAGAACAUGGGUGCAUAAAUGUAGUUUUCAAGCCCUUUUGAUUGAGUGAAUGUUGUAUAUUUAUACUGUCAGUUCUGAUUUAGAAACUUCAUCUCAUUCCAAUAUAUCUCACAAGUUUGCAUAUACAGGGAUGAUAAUAUGCCAUAUAUCUCAGAAGUUGUUUGCAUUAGGACUAUGCGAAGUGGCGCCUAUGAAAUUUAUCGACAAGGAAGUUGAAUGAAGCCACCUAUUAGUAUGCUUAGUAGCUAUAGCUCUGUAGCUCUCCUUUAUAUGUUCCUAUUCUUAUUACUACUUCUCCUAUUAUCGUGCUUCUGGUAUCAAACUUCAAGUCGAGUGGCUGCACUUUUGGUUUUGAUCUUAAUGUCGAAUGGCUAUCUUUUGUAAUCUUACAAACGCACUUAGAUUGAUUUUGCCUUAUAGUCUCGUGCCGAUAUUGAGAAAUGCUAUGUCUCACCCCUAUCACAAUUGAAUGUUUUUUCUUCAUUUUAUUAUUAUCAUGUAUGAAUGCAUAUGCUAAAUUUGGAUUCCUACUAACUUAGUAUUACCUGCUUAACCAAAACGUUGGGACCGGCACCCUCGCGCCAAGGCGCGAUAAAGGCGCGAUACCAAUCUAGUAACUCAACAAAGCAGGAUGCAUCAAGGAGGUAUAAUGCACGGCCUAAUUUUGUUAGCCUUACACAGUUGAAUAUAAGUAGGACUAACACAAUCUGUUCAUUUAUAUUCAAUUUUAUGUUGAAUAAUUGGAUCACGAGCGAUUGUCUACAGAAUAAAACAAAAAAAAUAUGGACACCAAAUCUGCAAGAGGAAUGCAUGAAGGGAGUAUUAUAAUGUUCAAUCUAGUUGUUCUUGAAAAAUCAAACACACGUGUUCCUGAAGAAUCAAACAACCAUAAAAUUACCAAGAAACUCUUAAGUCCUGUCUAAAUCUGCCAAAAAAAAAAGCGAGCACAAUAAGGGAAAGUACUGCUGCCGCAAUCGCAGACCAACACAAAAGAAUGCAUACAUCUGAAGCUCAAUCUCUCAAAGAUAAACAAAGAAGCAACCCCAGCUAAAAGAUGGUCAUCCGGGUAAAACAUCAAACCACCACAAGCCAAAUCUGGAGUUCUGGACUACAUGGUAAGCUACUGAAACAUCCGCGGGAAGCGCUUUCAAGCACCAAGCAGUCUGGUACAUUCCACUGAAGCCAUAGAACAAAUCAGUUUUGACAGGAAAAAGGAAUCAAUUUCUAACUCCCUCACACGCAGCUUGAAGAAGCAAACCUGGGCAACGAACCACUGGAGAUACCCCACUUCCAACCUCCCAAGAACAAGCCAUAGUAUAUACCUGAACCGAAUCAGGACGAAGUGGGGAAUUUGAAGCGAAGCGCUGUAUGAGCAGCAAGUCGAGAGGUAAUUCAACUUACACGCAAAAAAUUCUUCAGUUCAUCACAGAAAUCGAAUUCAAAGCACCAUCAUAUUACACAGUACCAAUCUUACAAUUCUGUGGUAGUGUCGACCUCGAGGCCGUUGCAGAGGAGAGGGAGCUCGACGACCUUGAUGGAGGAG
rnacentral:lncRNA from 1 species